GUCAUCGCUUUUGGUCCCAAAUCUUUGGGGUUGCUUUUUCCAAUAAACGUUGGUUACAUUUCUUUAUGUUAUUUGUACCAGUAACUGGUUUAUGGAUGAGUGCUCUUGGGGUAGUCGGUUUGGCCCUGAACUUACGUGCUUAUGAUUUCGUUUCUCAAGAAAUCCGCGCAGCGGAAGAUCCUGAAUUUGAGACUUUCUACACCAAAAAUAUUCUCUUNNNNNNNNNNNNNNNNNNNNNNNNNNNNNNNNNNNNNNNNNNNNNNNNNNNNNNNNNNNNNNNNNNNNNNNNNNNNNNNNNNNNNNNNNNNNNNNNNNNNGUAUUUCAAUUCAUCUCAAAACAAAUUAAAAGAAAACAUCUUACAAUAACACUACCGCAAAUAGGGAUGGAAAAUUUAUGGGUAAACAUUAUCAAUGAUUUUUUUUGUGUGUAUAGAAAAAGACUCUUUAAGUAACUUUACCUUAUUGAUUCCUUUAGAUAUGCAGCCAAUCAGAAUGAGAUCAAAAGGCAAUGCAUGAACGUCAUAAUCCGCAAAAAUUAUAUCUGCCUGUUUUGUGAAUUAUAUAUAUUUGUUUUUAAAUGAAAUGAUUACCAUGCCUUGGGGUAGGAACAAAAUAUAUGAUCCUUUAAAUAAAUGGACCACUCUAAGAGGGCUAAUUUGAGGUACUUUUGAUCCUCCUCAAAGUAGAUGAGACAACUUUGUUAGUGAGGCCCCAAUCAAUAAAAGGAAAAGGGAAAAAGGCAAAAAUAAUUUUGACCCAUAAUCACCAUUUGAAAGGAAAAAUAUAUAUAUAUUUUCGUAUAUAUAACAAUAUAUAAAAAAUUAAAAACUCAUUUAUCUAAAUAUAUACUAAGCAAAAGGAAAGACACAAAUAAAAUUCCUUCUUUUGAAGUGUACCCUAGAGAACUAAAGUUUCUUUUUCUUUCCAUUUUUUUUAAUUUCUCAAUUAUCAUUAUCCAAAUGACAUAUGCUUGGUUGCUUAGAUCGUUUUCUUUUCUCUUUGAUGCUUGGCGAUUCUCCAAGUUGUGGGUAUAGGGUAUUUUUUUGUUUGGGGAAUAUGGAGAAAAAACUUGAAGCAGAAGUAAGAGACCAUGCUUCGACAAAACACACACACAAACAGUUAUCAGCAUAUGUGUGUGAGAAAGAUUUUUGGGAGGUUCCUUUUCCUUUUUUCUCAAGGUGAGGAGUGAUUAAUGGUUGCGUUUGACGUUCAUGCCCAUCGAAUCAGAUUGGUAUAAAUCUUUUUUUUUAUUCGUUUAUUUAUUUGGGACAGGGGUGUGAUCAAUUAGGUCUAUGAUGAGAUCCUACUUGAGAGAAACAAACUAAAGUUAAAGAAAGCCGCAGGCAAGGACACUCAUUAGCACAACCCACACGAACAACCUUUGAAAGGUACUUCCAAACUGGAAAAGCAUCAUAGGAUCAUCAACAUCCUUAUUCUUAUGUCCAUUGCUGUUUCAGCUUCACAGUAAAAUCAUAAACUGUCACAACUUUAAAAACAAAAACAAAAAACUAAUCAAAUUCCAAAGAGUUAUUAAGUGAGAAUGUCACUGCAUUAUCUGUCUCUAUCUUCAUACAGCUUGUUCGUUUCCCACCUCAUUCAACUUUAAUUCUGAACGACAUGUGUACAUCACAUAUGUGUCAAUUGCCUCAGCUGAAAAUAAGGUUAUUACAUGAAAGUUCAGACCAGUUCAGAUCAGACGGCAUCGUUAUUAAUGCUUAGCAAAACUUCUACCAAGUUAUUUAGAAUUUCCCUUCCUCUUUCAUCUGAGUUAUUGUUUGUGCUAAGACUCAAACGGAAAAAGAAAUUAUUGCUGGAGAAUUCUCAUUAUGCAAAGGCUUCUUCUAUUCAGUAUCUUUUUACAAAAUGAUUCACUGUUAUGUUUUCUUUUAACAACAAUAUAUCAUUCGGUUAAUAUAAACUUUCAUGUUACAUUAUUCAUUAAGUAUUCAGCUCCUCAACUCUUUUUUCUUUCUUUUUUGUCUAAUCAAAAUUCGUCACCCAAGAGAAUUUAAUUAGUCUAACAUAUAAAAUGACAAACACGUUCUUCAUGAAAAAUAUGUGUGAAAAUAUUUGUCAGAUAAUUCUUCGUAUCUAUUAUAUUUUACAGUGACCAGUACGGAAAUUAAAGACUACUUUGAUAUAUUGGGGUGUGUGGUGGCGAUGGACACUUAAUUAAUUAAAAGAAAGUGUGAUUAUGAUUAAGGCUUUGGAUAUGAUCGAGUUUUGACUGAUUAAAAAAUUGCAUUGAUUUGUUGGAUGGAUGCUCUGGUUUGGUGGGGUAAGUCACAUUCUUAAAAAACUGAAUAUGUUACCCCUUGGAGGGGCCAUGCAUGCAUAUUAUUCAUGAUAUCUUUCUCAGAAAUACAAGAAGAAAAUUUAAAGGGGAAACUUUUCCUUUCAAAAAGAGAACUUUCACCAGCUUCCGAGAAGGAUCCUAUCCUUUGAUGUUCAUCUGAAACGAAAAAAAAUGAAAAGAGGAACAAAUUAAAAGACAAAAGGUUACCGUCGCACUGUAGCAUGCACAAAAAAAAGUCUCUUUUCUUUUGUAAUUUACAUAGGUAAUAUUAGAAGUUACUCCACCAUCUCAGGUCGUCAUCAUAGGCUGAAGUUGAGGAUAAAAAUAAAAAGAGAACAAAAUAUCAUGCAGAUGGUAACACUAGUUUACUUUUAAAAAAUACUAUAUAUAACUUUUUUAAUAUUCUUCUAUUGUUGUAAACAAACUAUUAAAUAACUUAAUUCACCUCAAAUUUAACAACUUAUUAUUUAUGUUUAUUUAAUACUUUUGUUUUAAUCAGUAAAGAAUAAAUUUAAAUUACUAUCUAAUUAAUUAAAAUCUUAAUAACUAAAACUUUGUAACUAAUUAGAUAUUAAUUUAGAAAACACUAAUUUAGAUAUUAAUAAUUUUUUAAAUCUUUAAAAUAAUAUUUAAUUUAGUUUUUAUUAUAUCAGUUAAUUAUUUUUUAUUUCUAGAAUUAAUUUUUAUUUAAUGAUUUUUUAAUAGUUAAAACUUACUCUGAUUAAAAUAUUAAUCAAUUAGAAAUAGCAUCACCUAGCCAUUGUCUCACUAGCACUUUCUAAUAAAAAAAGAAUGUUAAUUAGUUUCCAAAAGUUAGAGAGAAUUUCCAGGGAAAGAAAUUAAAGAGAUGAUGAAAUUUAAAAAUGAAUAACUAAAUGUUUGAGUUUCUAAUUUUUAAAUUCAAUAUAACUUAAAAUUUUAAUUUUUAUUACUUUUAAAAAUUUCUCUAGUAAACAGAAAAUUGAGUCUGAGCAAAUAUAUUUUGGGUUGUUUGAUUAAUGUGCAAUAAUUUAAGGUUUCUUAAUAUGGAUAUUUCUAUUUUGCAGGCUUUGAAUUUAAUCAUGUUCAUACUUCUAUAUCAGGAGUUAUAAUCAAAGGGUGUUUAUGUCUAAUUCUAUCACUAAUUUUGAAGGUUUGAAGUUUUUUUAAGUUGGUCUUCAUUUUAAGGUUGCUUCUUGGAUUGUUAAGGUAAACUUGUUUUUGCCUAGAGCAUGCUAUAUUAAAUGCAAUACAAAUAAGGUUGUUUGUGGUUGUUUAGGUUUUUGUUUCUUGUGGCAGUAUAUUUCGUGGUAGCUAAUUAAGGUGAAUUAUUGGGGGAUUUUAUGAAAAAUUGGUAUUGCUAUUGUUACUGAGGACGUCGUCGUGGUUGGACUAUACUUUUGGUUUGAAUGAAAUUAUCUACAUUGCAAAUCUUGAUUUAAAAGAAAGAAUUCAUUUUAAGUUAUUUAAUUCCUUGUAAGUUUUUCUUUAGGAAUAAAAUUGGUUUACCUAAAUUUAUAUUUAGUAGAUUUUUAUCAUGAAUUUUAUUUUUUCUCAUUAGUACUGUAUUUCUUUAUUUUCUUUUGAUGGUAUUGUGGUAUAUGAAAUGAUUAAUGGAUGUGAUAUAUGAAUUUUGUUGAAAUCCUUUAUUCCCUAGUGAUACCUUUAAUGGUAAUCUUUCAAUAGAAAAAUUGUUAUCGAUGUCACAUUCUACUAUUAUUUAAUAUUUAUUUAUUUAUUAUGAGUAAAAAAAUAACAAAUAUUAAAAAAAACACUCAAAAAUGUUCAUUUUUUAUUAAAAAAAUCAAAUAAAUAAUUCAUAGGUGACUAUAAAAACCGUAUGGAUUUGAAUGUGUAGGGUUGGGCACUUUUUUGAGUUGUUUUAGUUUUUUAGGUAUGUUUUAGAAUGUAAAGUUUAAAAAAAAAAGCAGUUUUAGUGUUUCUGGCAGAUGUCAUUAUCUGGUUGUUUGGAUUGUUUAGUAUAGAGUGUUAUUUGUUUGGAUUGUUUAGUAUAGAGUGUCAGUGUUUUAUUUUAUUUUAUUUAUUUAUUUUUAGAAAAAAAAAUAUCAACCAAAAAAAAAACUUAAAAUGAAAGGAAAAGAAGUGAACAUGAAUUUUCAAUGAAUCUAAUAAUUAUCGUUAUAUUCAGUAAACAUUGAAUAAAAUUAAUAGUUACAUUGCUUUUAUUAUGUUCUAUUUUUAUUCUAUUUUUAUCUAUUAGAUUCUGGUAACUAAGCGAAUUCGGAGUGUUAGUUAGUUUAGGUUAUUAUUGUUUACUUUUAAUGAACUCUAACUAGUACUUCUAUUGUUGUGACACAAAAAUUCAUAUUCUAAUAUAGGUUCAAUGGUCAUAUGUAAAUAAUUAGUUAACAAACGUCAACAGAUGAGAGGAGAACAAAACCUUGAAAAAGUUUCCUUCUACAAGCCAUAAUCAAAUUAUGUAAUUAUUUGACAGCACGUCUAAUUAAAAUCUUAAUUAAUCAUUAGUUGCUCCUUUUCUUAUGCUAGUGUUCUUACGCUUACACGCACUUUCUGGUUUCAUCUCACACUUAUGGCAUCAUCUUUCUGUUUUAAAAAGACUAUUAUUUAUUAUUUUUUAAUCGGUAAAAGAAUAAAUAAUUAUUUUAAAAAAAUGGUUUAAGAGAUACUUCAAUCUUGUAUAAAAAAAAUAUUUAAGGCUUACUGAAUCUUUAUUUUCCUUAAACAUUAUAAAAAAACAGCCUUCUGCACACUUUUAUGUAAUAUUGAGAAAAUAUUUUCUUACCGAUUAAAUAAUGCACGUUGUUUCACUUUAUUUAUAUAUCGAUUUUGUGUUUCAAUAAUUUAUAUUGUUUAAUUAUAUUCUUGAAAAUGAUAUUAAAAUGGAAUUAGAAAAGGAUAAUAUUGAUUUAACAUUUAUUAUGUAUGGCAGAGCCAUUGAUGGAACGCACACAGAAUCUCUGGUUCUGCUUAUGCUUUAUAAGAAAGCUUCCUUCUUCCUCACACCAGUCAUUGAGUGCAACUUUUUUUCCUCCAUACCCAUACUUGAAUGGGAUAAACAGGUCAGGCAUGUGUUACAUCCAUCAUAGCCAUUUCACAUCCUUCAACAUGCCAUAGUAAAAUUUAUUACUCAGAUGAUUAAAGAGUCACACAAAAAGAAAAUUCUGAGAUAUGAAUUAUAAGUGUAUAGAUUUCAAUAUUGGUAAUGUUUUCAUCUCAUUUCUUCAUUCUCUCAACUCCUCCUUUAAAAUUUAAUAGGAAUCCUCUCUAGAAAGCAAAAAUAUACUUUUUUUCUAUAAUAUAUAUAGAAUACCUUCUAAAACUACUAUGACAUUUUUGUCAAAAAAAUUGUUCUUAAAAUAUUGAUUUUUAAUUUCUUCUAAAAGGACUAAGAAGUGUGUUUUAUAUUUAACUAAAUCUUAUAAAAUCGGUUCAUAAGAUAAGGUUUGCAUUUACUUAUGUACUAUAAAAAGACUUAAAUAUUAUGAAAAGUUUUUAUAUCUAAUUGAUGUGUGAUCUUCAGCACACCCUCCUUAUGCUGAAAUUUAUCAAUUUGUGCGUGAAACUAUAUAUAUGGAUAGUUUAAUAGUGAAUAAUCUGAUACGUCAACAAAUUUUUGCUAAGAUAAACUUUAAAAAAAAAUUAUAUCAUAUUAAAAAUAGACUUUAAAUCUAAGUGAAUCUUAUAAAAUCGAAUUAUAAAAUGAAAUUUGUAAUACUUUUAUAUAAAAUUUGUAAUACUUAUAUAGGAUGAAAUUUUUUUAUAUCUAAUCGAAGAUUCCAACAGAAAAUAUAAUGAUAAAUUAAGAUUUAUUAUGUAGUUCGAAUUUAAUCAAUAAAAUGUGAAGCUUUACUAAAAUAAUACUCAAGGUGGGUUUGUUACGCCAGUGUAUACGGAAAAGGAAAGACAAAUGCAUAUUGAUUAGACAUUUAAAAUUCCUUCUUUUGAUAUGCUGGAGAUAUAAAAAGGGACAAGUUUGGUUCUGAGAUUCACGUUUUCUCAUCCUUUUCCGUUUGGGGAGAAGAAGUGCUUCCGUAAGUUAAACUAAUUAAUAGUAAUUAUCAUUUCAAUGUUUUAAAAGUCAUAUAAUUAUGUCAUGUAAAUAAUAUAUUUUUCUAAUGAUUUUGAGUGUGUAAAAUUAACACAAAUGUUUUCCCUAUUAUAUAAGAUUGGGAAGGAAAGUUAAAUAUAUCCCACAUUUCUAAUCACCAAAGUGUUACUAGUCCUAAUGUAGUUUUUUAGCUUAUCUUGUUUCUAUUUUUUCUUUUCUCUAAAACGGAAAGAGGAGCCAAACGUACAUUAAGAGAAAACCUUUUUAAAAAUAAUUAGCAUUUUUAUUUAAAUGUUAAAUGAAGACACGUUUUAAAUUAGUAAUGUUAGAUUUCUAUGAUGUGAAAGGAUUAAACAUUUUUUUAUUCGAAUUGAUCAAUCUUUAAAUUUUUCAUUUUUAUUCAUUCAUUUUUUUUAUAAAAACAUAUUUUAAAGUAAUAUUUAGUUCAUUUCACAAUUUUCUUUUAUCAGCAAAUAAUAAAUAAAAUGAAAUGAAACCCUUCAGAAAUACCUCAAUCACAGAGAAUCUCAAAUUAAGUUUCUUAACACCCAACUAGUUGGGGAUCCAACAGACAUUACAACACAUCAGUCAUAUUAACAUACCAUUAAGAUACAAAAACACAACAAAAUACAAUUAUAUCAACCCUCCAAAGGAAUCACAUUCUCAAAACAAGACAUAAAAGUCCAACAACUAAACAAAAUCUUUGCUAACAAACAGAAGCAAGUCAAACAUCCAAGAGGAAAAAACAUCAAACCGACCCUACAAGGAGGAUACUAAAGCCAAAUAACCUGCACAAAACACACCACGACUUCCAAACCUGGACAAAACGUUAAACAUGAAUCACCACACAUCAAUCUCUCAAAUAUCUCAUUUAACAUUAAGGUUCCAAACAUCAAUCUGAGUAAGAGAAAUUAGCCAAUCUUUCCUUUACCGUAACCCAAGACCAAAAACAUCAAACCGACCCUGCGAGGAAGAAAUAGAAGCCAAGAAACCUGCACAUAACACACCAUAACUUCCAAACUUGGACAAAACGUUAAACAUGAAUCACCAAACAUCAAUCUCUCAGAUAUCUCAUGCAACAUAAAGGUUCCAAACACCAAUCCGAGUAAGAGAAAUCAGUCAAUCUUUUCUUUACCGUAACCCAAGACCAAGUAUUCCUUUGUACCACAGUAAAAACCUCAACUAGAUCAACUCGCUCAUUCUUAAAAACAACCAUAUUCCUAUGAUUCCAAAUUUCACCUAUAAUACCUACCCAAAUCCCCCCCAGCACCUAACAAUAACAUGUUUCAAACCUAUAGGUUUAAACAGCUUAAAGUGCAUUUGUGCAUCACAAUGUAAUAUCGAAGAAAUCUUCAACCACUCGAGACACAGUCCCCAAAUUCUCCAAGAGACCCUACACUAAAAAAAGAGAUGACUUACAGUAUCUUCUUCCACACCACAUAGGGGACAACGGUCACACACCAGAGAAUUAUCAUGUCUCAAGAGACUGUCCUUAGUGGCAAUUGUAUUAGAUAACACCCUCCAAGCCGUAAUUUGUGUUGAAGGUAAGGUCUUCAAUUUCCAAAACUCCGCAAAUAAGUCUCCAUACACUACAGACUCCUCCCCCAAAAGACUAUUAUAAGUUGCCUUCACAAAGAAGAUCGUAGAUUCUACAUCCCUCCAAAACCAUUUAUCGGUCAUACCUUCACCAUUUCUUAAUAACCUCUUGUUAUCCAACACCUGCGAUAAAAUUUCAACCUGAUUAAAUUCCCACACAAAGAGAUCCCUUCUCUAUCUCAACUUCCACGACCAUCUAUUAUUACUUCAAACCCCAACUUGUGACAAAGUGCGACCAAUAUCUAAGGAGAUCAAAAAUAGCCUAGGGAAUUUUUGCGUUAAAGGAACAUUGUUCACCCACUUAUCCUCCCAAAACCUAAUUUCUUCUUCAUCUUCUACUUCCCACCAGCCUAUGUCAUCAAAAUCAUUACCCCACUCCUCUAGAUUCCAAAAUUUCCUAAUGUCCCUCCACCACACAGACUCCUUAUAGUUUUGAACUAGGACCUUAAGCCCUUCCACCCACCAUACUUAGAAUCUAGGAUAUCUUUCCAUAAACUUCUCUUUUCAGACUUAAGUCUCCAAAUCCAUUUCCCCAUAAGAAACAAGUUAAACUUUCUUAUAUCAAUAACCCCUAAGUCACCUUUAUCUUUCGACUCACAAACCUUGUCCCACGCCACCUAGACAACUUUUCUAUUCUUUGAGCCUCAAUCCCAUAAAAAACUCUUUUGUAUCAUUUUCACUUCCUUCACCAUAAUAGUUGGCAUACAAAAGAAGGACAUGUAAAAUAGCGGUAAAGAUGUAAGCACAGAUUUGAUAAGACAUAUUUUGUCAACCAUAGAAAGGAAUUUCCCUUUCCAAGAGCCCAACCUACUCCGUAACUUAUUGAGCACCCCUUCCCAAAAAACACACCCCUUAUGAUUCCCUCCUACCAUCACCCCCAAAUAAGUAAAAGGUGUCUUCAUAAUAUCUCAGUUAAGAAUAGAAGAACAAAACAUCGUUUGAUUGACGUUCACACCCACUCCACCAACCUUGAUCUUGAAAUAGUUAACCUUAAGACUAGAUGCAAGUUCAAAACACUUCAGAAUUGCUUUUAAGGUCAUGCCACUUUGAGUUGUGGCUUUACAAAUAAAUAGGGUGUUUUUGCAUAUUGCAACAUACUCACAUUUACUCGCCUUUCCCCGACUUCAAUACUCUCUACUAAUAUCUUCUCUUCCGCUUAUCAAACUACCCUUGCAAGCCCUUCAGCCGCAAUGAGGAAGAGAAAUAGUGUUAAUUGGUCCCCUUGCCUUAAGCCCUUCUUUGGUUUGAACUCAAUAGUUAGACUUCCAUUUGCAAGCACAGAUAUCGAGGAAGAUUCUAAGCAAUUUUUUAUCCAUUCAAUCCACUUUCCACGAAAUCUCAAUCUAAUUGUCCCUUUUAUCAUAAACUAAAUAAUGCUAGAUAGAUAAUAAAACCAUUUUAGAGGGAACUUUUAUUAAAACUAAAAAAAAAUAAUUCAAACUCCUGCGUUGAGUUAUAACUUUAAAAUACGUUAGUCAUAAAAAAUAAUGGAUAUAAUUUGAAACUAAAUAGGAGGAAAUUAAUACUAAACAUUAUGCAAUAAUAAAAUUCAUUUACAUUGGAAAUAUGCAUGUAUACUCUGGAAGUAAGGUAAGCAUGAGGACGCACAAUGGCGAACCAAACGGUAACUAUGGCUUUGGCCGUAAGUCACAUAAACCUUCCAAUAACCACACAAUUUUUUCUUCUCAAACUUUCCAUUUGGCUAUGAGGAACAGGACAUGUAUAAGAUAUUCCAAAGAUGGGAAAGGGUGAAAGAAGUAUUCAUAUCACGUAGGCUUAACAAGUGGGAGAGAAUAUUUGGGUUCGUGAGGUUCUUUGAAGUGGAAAAUGUGGGAUGUUUGGAGAAGGAGCAUGAAGCUAUAUGUAAACACUAUGAGAUAUUGGAGAUUUGUGCUCAAACCCACUAGAGUGGUUAGAAGGGAUUCUAGGAACCUGCGUAUGGAGGAAUCGAGGGAUACCAGAAAGUUGCGCUUGGAUGUACCUGUCAUGAUCAGGAAGAAGAGAGGUAAGGAGGUAUGGAUGGAAAAGAAGGGGAAGAAAUUCUUUGUUGAUGUAGUAAGAGGUGCAUGACAAGAUAAGUGGAAGGGACCCAUAAUUACGACUCAACAACAAAUCAUGCCAUGGAUGCAGAAUAAUGUUAUUGGCCAAUUCAUUGUAGAUUUGGACUUUGAGCAGUUAUGUGAAGAAGUUGUUAAAGGGGGUAUUAAUAUAGUAAGAGUGUGGUAUAUGGGAGACAAUCUAGCUCUGCUAACACCAAGAUAAGGGGAGUGCAUGGAGGAUCUAAUAAAGAUCAAUAAAUAAUGGUUUGAGAGCAUUUUUUAGGAUAUUCAACCAUGGUCUGAUUCGCACGUUGUUGGUCACAAAUUCGUUUGGGUAAGAUGUUAUGGUCUCUCGAUAUCUCUCUGGAACAAGGACUAUUUUUCCAAAGUGGUAGGAGAAAUGGCUACGUUAGUGUCUAUUGAUAAGUCCACUAUGUCAUUGGGAAACCUUGAGUAUGCAAGAUUACAAGUUCGUAUUCUCAAGAAUCACAAUGCUAGAUUGGCAAAGGGCAUGCGGAUAAAUGGUCAAGUGUAUAGCAUAUACAUUAAAGAUGAGCACCUAAGUGGAAAUGGAGGUUAGUACACGUGUGUCUAUAAUCAGUAUGCUUCCUCUAAUAGUGUUUCAUCCACAGAAUCCUUUGUACAAGGCACUGUAUUUUCUGUGAAUAAUUGUGAUGAGGAGGUCAGGCAAGGGGAUGGGGAGAAAUGUCGGUCAAAGGAGGAAGUGGAGGGAGGAGGGGAACACAAGAGGCAAACGUUAAGGGUGGAGUUAUUUGAGAAAUCUACUACGAAAGGUAGGGAGAGGCAGAGGAAAAAAGCUAAGUCUUUCACUAAGGAUGAAAAGAGUGGUCUGAAGGGCUUUGAUGAAUUUUCUUUUGUCAACCACUCUGUCCACAUAUGCAAUUCUGCAUGCACCAGCCCCUCUACACAGGUUACGUUGGCUAAUCUAGUGGUAGCAGUAGAGGUUCUUAAUAAUUCUUUGUGUGAGGCCAUUGUGGCCACAACCCAAAACGUGAAGAAUGUGGCCCAAUAUGAUGAGGGUUGGGAAAAAGUGCUAGCUCAAUUGGACACGGGAGUUGCCCAUCCAAGGAGUGUUAGAAUAUAUGACCUUAAACAAGAGGGGGUGAAUUGUUUAUAAAAGAUUUUUGCAAACUUUGAAGGUAUAAUGAACUCCAAUGCAGAAUCACAGAGAAAGAAAUCAAGGAAACAAAAUUGUUUAAGUUGAUUUCCAGAAAAUCAACUGGUUGUUUUUGGGAUUCAACCGGUUGAUUUUAUCAGCAGUGAUUAAAACAACUUAAAAGCAGAAUGUAAAUGAGUUCAAGGCAAGAGAAAAGCACACAAGCAAUUUAUAUUGGUUCACUCUUAUCCCAAGAGCUACAUCCAGUCCCCAGAAACCACUAAGUAUCUACUAUGCAAUCAAAAUCCAUAUUACAAACAACCACACCAAAGAAGUGACGUUGAACACCUCAACCCACACACUUCCUUUGGCACACAACACCACAGAAUUCAGAACACCAUUUAAUUCUGCUUACACCACCAAUAUUCAGAAAUACAAGAGAUAAAGAAAGGAUUACACCUGAUCAAUAUAAAAAAUGAAAGAUUACAACAAUCAUAUUCCACUCCUUUGUGAAAAUCUAAAAGCUUGAUGCAAAUCUUGAAAACUCAAAUAUGUUUUCUCAAUCUAAAAAUGUAUAACUGUUUCAAUUUUUUUAGGAGCGUAAAAAAACCUUUAUAUACUCCAAAGGUUUGUUAAAAACAUUUAAGGCAAGAGCCAAAACAGUUAGAAAACAUUUAAAGCAGAUUUACCAAACUUAACAGAAAUUCUGUUAUGGAUUUUCAAAACACAAUCGGUUGAAUUUUUGAAACAACCGAUUGAAUUGGUUUGACAACAAAGUCAACCGAGUCAAACAGCUUCAAACCCUUUUCAAAAACCACUAAGUGUCAAACAACCAAUUGAAACGAUAAAACAACUAUUUGUUUUUCCACUUCUUUAUAAAACAAUAUUUUUAAAAAAGGUUUUGAUUCAAAUCAAUUUUAGAUUCAAACAAAGAGUGAAUUACACUUUAAUUUACCCAUAACCCACCCACAAAAGCAGCAACUUCCGCCUUCCACCAAACACCAUGGAUUUGGAGACAUCAAAGCACAAGAUCAUCCUUGAUCAACAAGGAGGACCGUGAAUUCAGGUGCGAGAUCAACCCAUGAAGGGACCAAUUCAUUAUCCAGGGUAGGUUAUAAUUUAGCACCCAUAUCAGACGGGGAUAUUAAUAAUUGUAAUUCCAGUUACUGAAAAUCUGAGAACUUAGUGGAACCAAUCAAAUUGUGGGAGCUUGGUUAACAAAUUGGGAUUACAUGUCAUGGGAGUGACGAGGAGGUUAUCAAGGAAUUCCAACGUAUGAAAGAGGGAGAUACUAAGGUUAUGAAGAGGUUUGAGGAGGGCAACAAAACCAGGUUCUUAUGUCAUGGGAGCCAUGUUUUCUUCAAAUGUAAAGUAUCCUAGAGGGUUUGGUGUUUAUGUUGUGAGUGGGUGGGUGGGUGAGAAAAUAGCGUUACAUUGUGAUGCCAAACACCACUUUUUGCAGUUUAAUCUUACUUGGGAAACUAAAACGGUGAAUAGAUCAUGGGGGUGUAUGGGGACUGUAGUGGUUGGGGAAAUCUGGAAGCAAAGGAACCUAAUCAUUUUCAAGAAUGGCAGGGUGGAUAGCUCUGAGAUCUUUUCUCUGGCCCAACUCAAGGCGUGGUCAUGGCUAUCUAGUAAGGAAAGCUUAGUUGAUUUCUCUUAUGCACAGUGGUGCAUGGAGCCUAAGGAAUGCUUGAAAUCAAUAAAAAAAGAUAAGAUAAGAUUGGGAAGGGGAUGGAGUAUUUGAACCUUUAACAGGUACACUAGUAAGCUACAUAAGGAAAUUUAAGGCCUAGGAUGUGGUAGUAAUAUCAGAGUAGUUUCAAGUUGUUUUGUUUGGGCUAAAGUUAAUGCAUUUUUCGAUCUAGUGAGGAUGGUGCUACUAACGGUUCACCUUGUCAAGGUGAAGGUGGUUGUCUUUUGCAGGUUAAAGAAGGUUAAAGGAAUAGUUGUUGUCAAUGGUGAUUAAAGAUUCAGGUUGUUGGAAUUAGUUAGAAGGCAGAGUUGGCAAGAUGAUUGAAUUAGUGAAAAGCCCCAAAAUAGUGAAGAAGAAAUAGAAGCGAGAGGGAGCAAGCCAAGAAAAAAGAACAAACUUUGCAACUAUGAUAAACGAAUGCUGGAAUUCACAAAUGGGAGGAUAUCAAAACUUUUUCUAUUUUUAUGUUCUAGGAUUUAUUUUUUGAAUUGAAGUCACCAAAGGUUUUUUGUUGAAUGUAAUGCUAGAAAAGGAAGGAGGAAGUUGAGAAUCUGGAAUCGAAAUGUAGACUAAUACAGAGUUUUGCUCCUCUGGGGCAGCAAAAGUUUUGUUUCAAGAGUCUGAUUAUUAGAUCUCGAUCAACAUUUGAAUCUAGUGCAAAAUCAUGUAGAAUCAGAUGCAACAAGCAAGAUAAGGCUGACACGGUUUUAGGAACCAGGUUAAUAUGUAAGUAUGCAAGAGUUUGUUGCAUAAUUUUGUUAUGAAAUGAUAACUGGACUUGUGCAGUUGCCAUAAUGUUCUUAACCAAUUUGGUAGCUUUUUUGUAAUUCUUGAAUAGUUAGUUAGGUGGUGAGGUAUUUAGGAUUUGUAAAAGGGUUGGGACACCCCUGAAGUGUCCCUUUUAAUUCAUUUAUUUUUUACUGAGAAAAAAAAUGUGACGCAAAAACCUGAAAUAUGAAUGAAGUUGGGGAUCAUGAAAAGUAAAACUAAAAUAAGAUAACAACUAAGGAAACUUAUGAGAGUUAGUGCAUAACUCCUUUCACUGGAUCACCUCUGGUUAAUAAAUAAAAUAAAUAAAUUUGUUUUACGUGUUUCCAAGCAAAAAAUAGCAAUAGUAGGUAGCUACUUCAAAAUGGUCAUGGACAGUUGAACAAAAAAUGGAGUUUGGAUAAAAUGAAGUAAGUGAAUUGGAAUAUAUAUAUUCAAACCCUAAUUUUGCACUCUCAUUAUGAAUAUGUAAGAAAACAUAUAUUUUUCAAAACAGUAGCCGAUGUAUACCCGUGAAAUAAAAAAACAUAGAACAAUUUAAGUUCCUAUUAUGUAUGAUUAAAAAUAUAGUCAAAAUAAUGCAUAUAAAUGAAAAUGUAACUCUAAGUCAAUAAAUAAACUAACUUGUAGGUUAAGUUUAAAUUAAAAUUAUAUAUCAUAAAGACGAUUGUCCAUUAUUUUGAAUUAGCGUUUGGGCUGAGAGUGAAUUUUCAUAAAACAAGGAUUGGAGCAGCUGGUCUUGAUAGAUAAUAACUAAUGUUCUAUGCUAAAAUGCUUAAUUGUGCACAGAUGUCAAUAUCAUUCAAAUAUUUAGGCAUAUCAGUUGGAGGAAACCCAAGAAAAAAGGAGUUUUCGAAAGAGGUUUUAGACAAAGUGAGGAGGAAAUUAUCCUUAUGGAAAUGCAAGAAUCUGACCUUUACUAGAAGAGUAUGUCUGAUCAAAUCAAUUUUCACUGCAAUCCCAAUGUACUUAUCACUAUUAAAGAUUCCAGUAUCGAUAUACAAAGACUUGAAAAGUUUGCAAAGGAAGUUUUUGUGGGGGUGAGGGAGUGAUAAAAGAAAAAUAAUGUGGAUAAAAUGGGAAUCCUUAUGUAAAUCUAAGAAAGAAGAGGGUUUGGGGAUAAAAGAUAUAAGAAAGUUCAAUAAAACCCUAUUAGCAAAAUGGAUGUGGAAGUUAAAAAUGGAAAGUUCAAGAAUUUGGAGAGAGGUACUUUUGUCAAAAUAUGUCCCUAAUGAAUGCAAUACAAGAAUUAAGAAUAGAAGGACAAUGUCAUGGUGGUGGAGAGAUUUGUGCAACGUAUGUGAACAAGACUAAGAGGAAAGUUAGUUCAAUAAACAGAUAUCCUAGAGAGUAGGGAGUGGAGAAAAAAAUUUAUUCUGAGAAUAUAAAUGGUUAGGAAGCUAUAUUCUAAAACAGAAGUACCGGAGAUUAUACCUUAUCUCAAAUGACAAAGGGGAAUGUAUCAAGCAAGUUGGUAAAUGGUCAAAUGGGAUAUGGGAAUGGAAUUUGGAUUGGAGACUGAAUACUUUUGAAUGGAAAGGGAACAAAUGGUACAGUUAGUUUCAGCUCUGAAUGUUGAUAAGCCACAACAAGUAGCUCAGGAUAAGGCAAUAUGGUUAGCUGAAGAGGGAGGAGUCUACUUUGUGAAAUCAACUUAUGAAGUUUUUUACCUUUCAAUAUCGUUGGCAUAUAACCUAGCCCUGGAAAUCAUAUGGUAAAUAAAAGUUAUUCCUAGUGCUUUAAUGCUUGCUUGGAGAAUCAUCCAAGGAAAAAUCCCGACAAGGGAUAAUCUCAUGAGAAGAGGUAUCGCUAUCCUUACAUCCUUGUGCCUCUUAUGCAAUCAGGCAGAGCAAACCGUCCACCACCUGUUUGUGGAAUGUAGGGUGGCAUAUUUGGUAUGGUCGACGAUAUCCAAGUGGUUGGGAACACAAAAGGGGUAUCACAAUGAUCUCGAGCAACACUUGAUUGAAUUUUCUUAACAACAAUUUAAUGCAAAAAAAUCGGUUGUGGAAAGACAUAUGAUAGCAAUUUUAUGGAGCAUUUGGAACCAAAGAAAUUGGGUGGUUUUUAAAGGAAGGAGAAUGGAUCCUGGUGAAAUUCUUAGUCUAGAACAGCUACUAGCUUGGUCAUGAAUGAAGAGGAAGAUAACAAGUUUUAAUUUUGCAUUUUCCAAUUGGGUUCUUUACCCUCUAAACUGUUUGUGUUCUAUAGGUUAGUAAGAACUUUUGUAUGGCUCAAAAGCUUAAAAUUUUUCAUGUGUGGUUGUUUUACAUAAUUUUGUUUCUGUUGUUUAUGUGGAGGUUGAUAAGGUUAACUUUAAAAGAAUUGACUUACCCCUUAGCCAAGGAAGGGGAAGGUUCUUGUCCUAUUAUUGCAGGCAUAUGAUAGUUGAGGUUGUGUUACAAGAUACUACGAUCAUUGGAGGAGGCUUUGGAGCAAAGGGAUGUUGUUCGGGCUAUGAUUUGAGUAAACCAAGUUUGAAUCAUGCUGAGCAGAAGAUUUUUGUCAUGGGAGUAGAGGAGACUAAGAGGAAAAGAGUGUUGCAGCAAAGUGAAGAUCUAUUAGGUAGGUUUAAGCACAACAGGAAUCUUGUUUGGUUAUGUGGUUUAUUAUGCACAAAUCUAUUAAAAAGAAUGAAAGAAUUUGUUGAGGUGUAGCAAAUUGGCGCAAAAGAAGUAUUAGAGGAGUUGUUUAGAUCGCUUUUGAUGUUGUUUUACACAUAAAUGGAUAGGCACUAGGAAUGUUUAGAUAUGCUUUUAAUUAUAUCUAGGUAGAGAUAAUACAAGGUAAAUAUAAUUUAUAUAAUCUGUUUGCAGCACUUGUCUUUGCUUAGAUGAUGUACCUUUGGUUUAUAAAACUUAUAACAUAUGGUACUUUUGUAUAAUGGUUGAAGCAUCCAUAUAAUGUUCAAUUUUAAUUAAUUCUACCCUUUAUUGAGUAAAAAAAUGUAUUAUCUAUUAUCAUAUUUACUACAAGAAAAGUUGUAAUUACCUGCCAAAAAAAGUGAAGGCCAAGUAAUAGACAUUAUUAGUGUCCUCAAAUCCUACAUAAUUGAGACACAAAAUUAAAUAUUAAUUAUAGCAUGGACAAAGAGGUUUUAAACGGAUACUAAAAUCAUAAAAAAAAAUAGUUGUGUCCUCCAUAGUCCGCACUAAUUCAUUAGCAACAUUUGGAUUAAUGUCAACUUAAUGGGACACUAAACUCACUCUAAGUAUCGUUUAGUGUCUCCUUUCUACUUUUUGUAUGAAUUUUUUGGAGAGACUAAUAUUAUUAUUUCUUGUAGUGAUUAUAUAUAUAACUACUCACGUAAUGUUUAGUUAUACAAAUUUUAAUAUUGGAUGAUUAAAAUAAUUCUAAUAUUACAUGUUUGUCCUAACACUUUAAAAAAUAUUAAAUAAAAAUUAAUUUUAAAAUUAAAAUAAUUAAUUAUUAUAUUGAAUAAAUUUGAUAAUAUUUUAUAAAUUAAAAAAUUAUUAAUAUCUAAAAUAAUUUUUAUUGUUAAUAAAUAAUUUUUAAAAUUAAUAUUUAAUUAUUUACAAACUUUAAAAUAAUUAAUAGUUAAAAUUUUAAUAAUUAAUUAAAUAUCAAUUUAAAAAUUAAUUUAUAACUUUUACUAAUAAUAAAAAUUAUGUUAUAUAUUAUUUUUUAAUUUUUAAAAUAAUAUAUAAUUAUUAUUUUUAUUUUUAUUUUUAAAUUAUUUUUUAUUUAAUUUUUUUUUUAAGUAAAAGUAUAUCUCUUUUAGCAGAAAUUUAUUGACCAAAAAGAUAUGAGUUGGAUGAAGUCAGCCUCUCCAAGAAAGUUGUCUCUGUAAGAGAAACCAGGACCAUUGGAUUGUUAUGUAACGAUUAAUGAAGGGCUGUGAUACUUCAGAAUGAUGACAGAAGAAAAAAUUGGUGCAGAGGAUCCGAGGGAGGAGAUAUUGCCCGAAACGUCUCUUUGAUUUCUUUGAUCCAGGUUUCUAAGUUUUUGCAUAUAAUCCUGUGAAUUGCAGGUUUUUGAGAGGGUUGAAAUUUGGACCUGCCAGCCAUAUGUAUUAAUUAUGGUGGCGGUUCCCCUUUCUUAUUCUGUUUGUAAUCUCAUAUACUCUCAAAUUUAUUUUAUUUCUUAUGACAGAUCUAAUAUUAAUUAUCAUCUUGACUAUAACUCUGGUCUCUUGAUAGAUCUUGAAACCCUAUGUCCAAAAACACACAAAUUUGCAGAGAUCAUGUGAUCACCUUGUCACCUCAAAGAAUAUUGUCGGAAAUCAAUUAUGGUAGUUCAGUCGGUGGGCCUCAUGAUCUUUAUUUCAAUGGAUACAUUUUCUUUAUCUCAAUGGAACGUUUACGUUGUGGAUAUAUAUAUACAAGGCUUGAAUUUCACCCCAAUUAGUUUGAUACUUGAAGUAAUCACUGAACUAAUAACCUAACUAAAUAAUUUUCUGAAUGUGGUGACAUAACCUAGGGUAUAAGCUGUAAUGGAUGUGUUUGGUUGUUUAGUUUUUUGGUCUGUUCGGAUUACCUCCUAGGUUGCCUUAGAUUACUUAUAAUAGCUCCCUCCUUUACACCAUUGCAAUUGAUUUGUUUCUUGGGAUUUUAGCUACUUCAACAAUGAUGUCUUCUGAGGUGGAAAAAUGGCAAAGAUACAAGUCACAGAUCAUGCCAACCAGGCAAUGUUAGGCACCAUUAUUAUUUCAGCUUUCGACAUUUUCAAGAGAAUGCUUUAACUAAUUAGAUUUCAAUUAUAUUUUCCCAAUAGUCCAUGUAAGAGGUUGACAUAGCAUACAAUUGCAUAUAUUACGCAAUCUAUAAAAACAAUGUAAUUGGGAAGAAUUGCGUCAUCUAAUUAUAGUAACUAUCUCCCGUUCAUGGUGCUUUGUCUUUGCUAUUUUCAAUUCCAAUUUAUUGAAGAACUUCCCAGUACCAAUUGAUUGUCAACGAGUGUUACUCAUCAAACAUCAUUUAAUUAGGUUUGGAAAAGGCUUUAACUAAUUAAUAUUUGUUUUUCAUUCAAAAAAUGGGAGAAUUAAUAAAUUUAUUUGAACGAGUUAAAGCCGCCCCCAUCUUGAAAUGACUAGAGAGAACAACGUGCAAACACAUUGAACAUCUUUAAACCCUUACAAAUCAAAUCUUCUUGGUGAUUGUUGUGCAUGUUAUCUACUCUUUUUCAUGAUAUUUUAGUUUUUGCAAUAUGCCGUCUUAUCAAAUAAAAAGUAGAUCAAUAAGUUCACUUUCAUUGUCCAUAAAUAAAUCAAAUCUUCUUUUCAUCAACAAUUAUUCUAAUGAAAUUACAGUGCUAGCUUCUGUACAUAUAUAUACUAUGUAUACACAGAAAUGCAAGCAUGAAAUAUACAGUAAGCAAAUCUUCUCUGAUUUGGUCCAUGGAUUAAGUCUUUCAAUUGAUCUUCCUGCAGACAAAUAGAAUAAAGGGCACAGUGUGAAGCUGACACAACGAGUCACUACAGGCAGUUGAUUAUGUCUGCAUAAUUUGAUUUUCUUUUAUCAGCAUGUCUGCAUAAUGAAAACUUGGAUAUAGUAUAUACAGAGAAACAUAUAGCAUAAUGUGAAUGUACGUAUGGUUAUUGUAGAGAUUGAUGAGAUGAGAGAGCAGAAAGAACACAUGGCUACUGGAGCCCACAAAAACAUAGGAUCAUAAAUAAGGGAUCAAAAUGAGGGUAGGCAACAACAAAGUGGUGCCACUGGGUGCUUCUCUCCUCUGGUUAAACCGAUGGCCAUAAGUCCUUCAUUUCAUUAAGUUUCUCUUAGUUGGCAAAAAGGACAAUAUCCCACAAGUCUUCCAUCACUGAACCAGAGUUAAUGUCUUUGCACAUUAGUCAGCUAUCAAUUUCCUAAUUAUUAAUGACCCAUUUUCCAUUUCUAGUAUUUUCCUUCCCUCCUUCCCCCACUCGGUUGCCCCUUUUGAAGCAAACUAUUGCCCCUCAAAUAAUAACUCUAUACACACAAUCAUGAACCAUCACUAUGUAAUAGUUUAUCUUUCACUAGAGCCACCUAAUAAACAUGAAUGUUUUUUUCUUUAUGUGUUAACCUUUGUGUGUUAUGAUAAACAACCUCAUUUUCUAUAUCCACUUUUGCAAUCUCUCUUUAUUAUCUUUCUCUUCUUGGUUAUUGCUUUUACUCGUACUUUUUUAUCUCUUUCCUUUUCUCCAUAUACCCUUUAAGGAUGUCAAACCAUCUUUAUCCUAUCACAAAUAUUAUUAAUUCUGCUUUUCUAUGUAAGAAAGUCACUGCAAAAUUGAAUAACUGGUGUAAAAUUAUAUUCUCAAGUCUAACUUCGUGUUUUUAGAGAUAUAAUGUUCUUGAAAGUGUCUUUGCUGCAAAAUAAAAAUGUCCAUUCAGAAAACGCUCCCUUGUUUGUACUUUUUUUUGUGGGCAGUCCCUUGUUGUACUUGUAACAUAAGAUGCCCCGCUUCUGAUAAAAAGCAUUAUGUGUUGUGUUUUAUUGAGUUCAGAAUUAGUUCAUAUAUUUUACAGAGAGGUUUUCGACCGAAUGUUUGUCCCACAAAUGCGUAUCAUAAAGCAUACUUUUUUUGUAUGUGUAUUCUUUAAAAUAGAUAUGAGAAAAUCAUCUUUCAUCGGAAAAACAUAAAAUGCAAACAUGUCAUAGUUUUCAUUUAUUUCUAUCUUUAAAAAUGAGAGAGUGAGAGAAAAUAUUCUUUUGUAUGAAGUUUGAAGUAUUCUAUAAUUGAUCUGCAAAACAAUGUUUUUCUUUUGUAUCAGACUUUCAUGAAAGAAAUAACUAAGGAAAAGUAUAUAUUGAUAUAUACAUGCCUCAAACUUAUAUGAAAAUCAUAUAAUGAUAUAUAAUCAUAAACAUUCUUAAUUAAUUAAUACGUACAGAUCACAGGCUAACAGCUUUAUUUUUCAACAAAGAAACGCAUCUAAUAAUGAUUGGUACGCGAAAGUAAUAUGUACGAUACAUGAGUGCAUUUGGACACGAGAACCAAAAUGUUCACUACGUAACCAAUAAAAGAAUAUACAUGUUUUAGCAGGUGCAUUUCCUGACAUAUACUAUAGAGGCCAAAAUCAAAUAUAUAAGUGUAAAAGAAUAGGAUCUCCAACUAUAAAAUCUAAUUGGUAGGUAAAACUUUCACGGCUAAUUAGAUACAAAUUUACAAUUUAAUUUAUAAAUUUUAUUAAUAAUAUAAACUACUUUAGAUAUCAAUAAAAUUUUUAAUCUUUAAAUUAUUAUUUAAUUUAGUCAAUAUAGUAAUUAAUUAUUUAUUGUUUCUAAAAUUUGUUCGUAAUGACUAGUUUAGAUACUAAAAGCAUUAUUGGUAUCAAAAGUAGUUUCUAUUAUUAAUAAAUAGUUUCUAAAUUGGUAUUUAAUUAGUUAUCAAAAUUUUAGCUACCAACUUUAGAAUCUAAUUAGUUGGUAGCUACAACUUUUGUAACUAGUUAAAUAUUAAUUUUAAAACUAUCUAUUGAUAAUAUAAACUACUUUAUAUACUAAUAAUAGUAGCUACUUUAUAUACUAAAACUUUUUUAGUAUCUAAAAUAGUGUAUAAUUUAGUUAAUACGGUAUCUAAAAUAGUGUAUAAUUUAGUUAAUACGGUGACUAGUUAUUUUUAAUGAUUAUGACUUUAUUUUGUUUAUGAAGAUUACUUUUCAUGGUUGUAUUAUUCUCUCUUUAUCAAAUCAUGUAGAUAAGAUUGUAGAGUUAAAAUUGUAACUGGAAAAACAAUUUGAAAUUAAGGAUUUUGGUCCUCUUCAUUAUUUUCUGGGGAUUGAAGUUGUGUAUUUUCUAGAUGUUAUCUUCUCUCUCAAUUUAAGUAUAUUGUCACUAUUGUAGCGCAAAGUUGUCUUUCUAAUACUUGAACAUCGGAUACUCUUAUUGAUAUAAAUGUGAAAUAUCUCUUUAUCUUAUGUAAUAUUGUUACUAAUAUAGUAUAUCUCACUAUUACUCAUUCUAAUAUAUAUUACUUAUGUUGUGCAUGUUUAAGUCAAUUUGUUAUUUAUCCACUAUAAUGCAUUGGAAAGUUGUUCAUCAUAUUCUUAGAUAUCUUUAGAUAUAUUUUUGGUUCUCAGUUUUUGCCUUCUUUUUCUCUCAUCAUCUUCUUUGGAUUUGUGUGUUUGUUAUAAUGUUGAUUGAAAUGGUGACCUUACUUAUCAUCAUAAGUCUACUAAGACUCUCGUAUAUUUUGGAAGAUCAAGUAAACAAGAUAUCAUUUCUCAUUUUUCUAUCAAAAUUGAAUAUGAUGUCAUGACUAUAACAUACUACUGAGAUAGUUUGAUUGCAUUGACUUCUUUUUAACAUGAGUGUUUAUCUUUCUACCAGUUCAUAUGUAUAUGAUAAGAGUUUAUUCAAAUUGUCCAUAACUCAAUUUUUCAUAAACACAUAAGACAUAUUGAAAUUAAUGAUCCCUUUAGUCGUCUUCAUCUUUUCAACUAUGUUGAUGGUUGAUUUAUUUAUAAAAUCUCAAUCUAUUCAGCAUUUUCCUUUUUCUCUAACAAACUCUCAACAUUGCAUACUAAUACAUUAUGAGUUUGAGAGAGAUGUUAGAUAAUACUAAUUAAUAUGAUUUAGUUAUUGUCAUUUUUAUAUAUGUAUAUAUUUUUUGUAUAUUGCAUUUUCAGACUCGCUGAGUUAUAUAAAAAAAACUUAUUCCUCUUCUUUUUAUGUGUCGCCAUCCAUAGUUUAUAAAAGUUAAUACAUUUAGCGUUAAAAAUGAUAUAAAAUUAUAUUUUUUUCAAUUAAAGUUUUGAAGAUCUAAAAAAUAUUCCAAAUUUUGUAGAGAAUCGUUAAAAAAUAUAGAGAAAUUAAAAAUUGAAAAGAUAAUGUCCUAAUAUAGCAUUGAAGGAAGGUGGGUAUAAAUAAACAAAGUGAUGAUGGGGGGGUUUCUUUAUUGAAGUGAGUGAAUGGAGAGAGAGUGAGGGGGUUGAGUUGAGUUGAGAAGAAGUUAGCAAAGCAAAGCAAGAAGGAUAAGAGAGGAAGUGGUACUUUGUCCAAAAGUGGUGUGCCGUAUGUAUGGGAUGUUUUUCGUGUCAUCGUUUAGGGAAAGCCAGGCUUCGUACCACAUAUGUAAGAAAUAAAAAGAAAGAAAGAAAGAAAUCCCUAUAGUAUCUAUCUAUCUAUCUCUCUACCUUGUCUUUUUCUUUGAAAUUUGAGCUUCUCCUAAAUUUUCACCCCUAACAACAUUUUCAGCACCAUACAUUACUUACCCAUGCCUUCCCAUCACCCCUCAACCAAAUCUUCCUCCUCUUAUUCCUCACUUCCUCACCCUUCUGUCGGCUGAUUUUCAGAUAUCCCUCUUCACAUCACCUUUCACAUAUCCAACACUUUCAUUAGGUUAGUUACCAGUAUUUAUCAACAGGGUAUAGACCUACACUACCUACCCACUUCCUCCUCUUCCCAAUAAACUCAUUAAAGUCAUCUCUUCCCAUCAUUUCCAUUUUAUUUUACCUUUUCAUUUUACCUUAAACAUUCUUCAUGCUUACAACACUAAACAAACAAUACUUUAUAGAUUUAAUAUAAUAAAGUUUUUUAUGUUUAUCUCAAACUUGUUUCAAGUAUGAUUUUACUGAUAGAUGGUGUAAAUAUGUAUACCCCAAACCCUAGAUGUUACAGUUGGUGUGAAAUUAAAGUGGUAUAAUAAAUGAUGAAAUUGUUGACAAUUUGGUAGACUUUAUUUUUGAAAAUACAUAUCCUGAGUUUUGUUAUAUUGAAAGCAUUGCAAUAGGGGAGGAAGCAGUGGCACCUAGACGAUAUGAUGAUUAUGCAGCAACAAAGUAUGUGUACCAUGGUACUCAUAUAUACUGCAUGUGCUUUAUACAAGGAUCUAUUCCUUUUGCUAACAAGAUAUUGGUAUGGUAGAUACGAUAACAGAGGUACAACAAACUUUGCUUGAAUUUCUUACUUUGCUGCUCUGUCCAAAGCUCUGGGUUGUUGAGUGGAUGCACCCCCUUUUUUCCCUGUCUUUUCUUUUGCUUUCACUUGUUCCGUAACUGAAGGUGUCUUUAUCUCCCUCUUUUCCAUACCAUAUCAAUAGAUCUUCGAGCACCAAUCAAAACCUCUCCUUUUUUUGCCUUAUGAGGGAAAGCAGAUUUAACAUAGAUGCACACAGCUUUUGUAGUCCCAAUUGAAUGACUUCCACAAGUUUAUGAUAUUUACUAGACAUUAAACAUUUUUGACAUUGUAAUCCCAACUCCCAUUAAUUUAAACUGACAUUCUCUUUGGAAACCACAAGCUAUGAGUAGUGCUUGUUCUUGCUGUUGAUGUUUCAAUCACCAUCCGUGACAUUAACUGAUUUUCAGUGGCAUGUCUAGGGAAUUUAUGUGCCACCUUUAAUGACAAUCAUAAAUGCAAAUUUAGGAAAUGGGGGAUCUAUUGCCUGAAAUGGUUUGGCAUUGGGGUGAUGUGGCUUCUCUUCCAUUCCAACUGGUGCACAUUUGUUGGUCACAUCUCACAACCAUCCUCUCAUACAUUUCACCUCAAUUAAUUGACAUGGACAAGGCACAUGGAGGACUAUGGCCAAAUCCAAUCGCUGCAUGUGACCCUCCACCCUCACGUGCAUCAUGGAUUUUAUUUUCUUCAUUUUUUCUUUUCUUUUCAAAACUCAUCACUUAAGAUAUCCGCUGCUAAAUUCAGUCACUGUGUGCUUAUUCCCUUUGUUGGUGAUGGAAAACAUCUGUCCCCACUUUGAUGUGUUCCAGAUGCUUGUGUCGUGCUAAUAUCUGAUAAGGCUUGCAUUGCUUCUUCGCUUUUAUAUUAUACUGCAACAUUAUUUUCUGUGGCUUGGCUGUGUCAUUUUAUGUAAAGCUUUUUCCUCAUUUCUUCCUAUAUGUCAGAAACAUUUACCUCCAUCUUUUCUUUUUUCAGAAUGGAUAUUUUACAACAUAAUCAUGAACAAUGAAGAUACAUUUUUAUGGAGUGCAAGGUAGUAGAGAUUAUUUUUUUUGGAAAAAUAUUAUCCAUACUAAUAAGAGCUUCCAGUAACAAAUAACACAAUUCAAAACAACUUCAAACACCUUUUAUAUUAUAUAUUUCAAAACAGAAUCAGAGAUGUCUUUGGAAGUAGCUAUUUUAUAAUAAUGGUGAAUCCAAUGCAUAUUCUGGAAUUAGGUAAAAUAAUCACUCUUACAUAACUCUAAAUAAUGUAUUUCAGACAGAAAAAAUACAUGAUAAGGGUGGAAUUGGAAUUUGGAAAUAUAGAGGUACAUGAAGAAAAAGACAUUUCAAAGGUGCUUGAGUAUUUUUGUUUUUUUGCAGUAUAUAUUGGCCUAGACCCAAGUACAGGUGGGCCGAAAAAAACUGUUCUUUUAUUCAAUUAUAAUAUAAUGUGAAUACAAAUGUAUGUGGGGUGAGCAAUUUGAUAGUUAUAAAGCAAGAGACUCGUGUAAGAAAAUCUUAUACAUUUUUUUAUAUUAUACAAAUCAAAUUAUUUUUUUAUGUUAAAAAAAUAUUCAUGAACAAGUUAAUGUAUUAUUAAGUAAAUCCCUAGAGGAGGCUGAAUUAAGUAGUGAUUUUAGUCUUGCAAAUGAGUAUUUUUAAUAUAUACGAACCUUGAUUAUUCUUGUAUUCAACCAAGAAAUCAGCUAGGGUUUAAAAAAAUGAACGCAUGUGAAAUGUGAAUGUCAAUAAAUUAUUAGUACAAGUAGAUAUUUUACCAAAAAUCUAUUUUUCUAUUUAAUAAAUUAUUAUGCAACUAGUUAUUAUUGUUAUUGUGCUGAGUGCGUGAUAAUUUCCAUAUUUUUAUUUAUUUGUUUCGUCUAAGUUCCAUUCCUCUUCAUUAUUUUUCAAGACUCGUUGGGUUAAGAAUGAUUUUCUCGAUGGACCCCUACGGAAAUGAUUGCCUAAGCUCAUAGGCCCACUUAUGAUCAGAGGGCAUCGAUGUUUAUUAUCCGGAGCUUACUUUUUACACCACCCUCUUUCUUUUGUAACUUGUACUCCUAAAUUACUUAUAUUUUUUAGCAGAAAAUUACUUAUAUUUUUUAGCAUAAAAUUACUUAUAUUUUUAGCAGAGAUUACUUAUAUUUAAACCAGGUGUUAUAUUUUUCAAAAUUAACUCUUCGUAAAUUUUAAUUUUGACAUUGAUUUGUAAAUUUUCUUUAACGAAAUUUAUUCCGAAACCAUUUCUUAAUAUAGUGCAUAAUUUUUUACAAAUGUCUCGUAAGAAUCUGAUAUUUUACACCUGUACAUGAAAAAACAUUUAUUAAGAAAGAUACACAAACUCGUGUUUAUUGGCACCAUCAAAUAUGUCACUUUAGAAAGAAAUUAUGACAAAUAUGGUUCGUCGUAUAACCUAUAAUUGUGUGUAUAUAAUCAUUUUGAUAGACAACACCUUAAUAAUCUAAAUGAUUUCUAACAUAUUGAGAAUCCAAUACUGAAAAAUAUUAUUUUUACAAUUGCAUAACUAAAGUUAUUAGUUUAUAAUCUUUCAAAAUUUCUUAUUUUUUAACAUGAGUCCACAUUUCAGUAAAAAUUAUUAUCUUUUAUUAUUAAGUAAUUGUAAUUUUGAAUAAUUCACUUUUAGAUUGUAAUUAUAACCUUUUACAAUAAACUUACUCCAAAGUAAACUCGUGAGAAGUGUUGCACUAUUCUUGGAAGCAGCACAGCAACGAAGAAGCCAAUUCUCAUAUACUAAAGAAUUUAAUAAAAGAGACCAAAAAAACUUUAUUUCUUUUUAUAUAUAUGUGUAUAAUUACAACAAUGCCAAAACCAUAUCUUUCAAGAAGCAAGCAUAUAUGCAUGGUAAGGAAAGAGAAACAACACUUCAAAAUUCAUUAUGAACAAAUGUAUGCAUAAUAAGACAAAUCAAACAUGAAUAUAUAUCCCUAAGCAAGUGACAAAUUUUCAACCCCAAAUGUCUUGGAGUUCACUGCAUCAUAAGUGCCACAACAGAAGCCAACACAGAAGAAUAUAAGGUCACCUCAGAAACAGACAAAGCAAACCCUGCUCCAGUCUCCAUUUGUGAUGUGGGUGCUAUUGCUGAUUCCUGUGCCACAAUUUUGGUUACGUAAAACAUGCUCAAAAUCAUUACUGCAAUACAAAACUGGGCUUCAAAGCCACCAAGUUUUGCCAUAUUUCCACAGAAAUCUUAUGUUAGUGUGUGAAAAUGCGACCAAGAUGACUGAAAAGGAUUGAACUGGUCGUGAAUUGAGUUGUUCAAAGACAGGGUGAAGAGUUGAGUUUAUAUAGAACUUGUUGAGUACGUGUUGUGAAGUUGGUAAGUGGUACAUUAAAUCAUUAACCAUUCUCAAUUACUAUGAUGCCGUUUAGAUUAAGGUUGUUGAGACCCCACUACGCUAAUUAUAGAGCUAGUGAUGCAAGGUGGUAUUGUGUCCUCAAUGAGCUUCUUACGUUAUAGUUGGAGGAAAAAUCUGGUACCUACCCUUUAUGAUACUUUAUUCCAGAAAAGACCAUUGAAGUACAAAUUUUAUUUACCUUUAACUGAAUAAAUGAUCAAGAAAACUUAAUUUAUUUCAAAAUCAGUGAUGUACAUAUAUAAUAUCUUACUUUUUCAUUUUAGACAUUGCUAAAUUUGAAAGAGUUAAAUAGGAAAUGUGAAGGGUGUUAUUACUAUUUUAUUUCCGUGGUAAGGUUUUGUUGAAUUCAUUGUAGAUGGUGGGAAAUCACUUUCUGGCCAGCUGAAGAGCAUGACUUGACAUAGCAACGGUGGCAAGACGCUGAGAGAGGACAAGUCUGUGCUGCAAAUAUGGUGUCUUUGUUGCUUCAUAAAUCCCCAAAAGUUCAUUAAAGGCACUAAAAGGUAACUUUUUUUUCUUAUUUUUUCUCUUUAAUUUAUUUCUCUUUCACUAAACAAAGUUUCACAACUCCUCCUCCUCUAUUAGAACAAAGUAACUUAUUUUGAAGAGUGGAUUAGUUUAGAAAAACAUUAGUUUCUUUUAAAAUCCCACAAUUUUAUUAUAGAAUAAAAUCAUUAAAUAAAAAAUAAUUUUAAAAAUAAAAAAUAAUUAAUUAUUAUAUUGACUAAAUUAGAUUUUUUUUUAAAAACUAAAAAAGAAAUAUCAAUAUCUAAAUUAGCUUUUAACCUCACGCAAGAAAGUUUUCUUUCUUUCUCUCUCCAACCUUCCAUCUUCUCUCUUAAUUUCUCCCUCCAUACCUCAUCUAUUUUAGAAUUUGAUCAUAUCAUGUUGUAGCUAAGGAGUUAAGGAACAUUUCUACCUGAUCAAAUUUUCAAAUAGAGUAAGUUCAUCUUUUUACUCUAAAGAUCAUUUGUUCUCUAUUUUUUCUUAGGAUUUAGUUAUCAAUCUUGGUGGGGGUCAGUUGAGAAGAUUAACCCUCUCAACUUAUUCUACUAUAUACUAAAUUUUUGUUAUGUUUGGAUAACUUGCAUUAGGCCUGUAAAUCUUGAAUCUUAUCCAGACUGUGGGGAAUAAAAUUCUAGAAGUUGCUUGGAAAGUAAGCAAUUGAGGUAAGGGAAGCUAAAUUUAAUUUUUAAUAGCACCCUAGGAUAGAAGAUCUGAAUGCAAAAGGGACGUGGUCCCAAUAUUCAAUUUCUCUUGCAAGGAUGUUGUGUGUUUAUAUAUUGUGGUGUUUGUUUAUAUAUUAUUUAAAUUUGUAAAAAUAUUAGAUUUUGAUGGUUUAAUAUUUAAGUGUUGUUUUUUAUGUUAAUUACGCUUUUGAAUGUUGUGGAUCGUGUUUGGAAUGAUAUUGUAUGAUGAAAUGGUGUGGAAUUGAACUCAUACAUUUGGGAUAAUGUAUGGACUGAUGUUUGUUGUGUAUUAAGUAUUGAUGCCUAUGUGGUAACAGAGAUCUCUGAGCUUCAAUGAUGAUCUAAGUCACAUAGACUAAGAUAUCAGGUGGUGAGAAGCUGAUGGGGGAGUUCAUGCACACCGUGACAUAUGAGAUGCAUGGCUUGGGUUGUAUUGAACUUACCCUGAUCCUUUCUGUUAGAUUCGCUGGUAAUCUUUGGAUCAGGUGGUGUUAGUCUCUGAUAAGACUUACUUAAUACGGGUCUUCCGGAAGACGUUGUUUGUUGAAUAUUAUGGAUGUGUAGAUCCAUGUGAGAUGUAUGUGAUUGUUUUAUUGUUGAGAUUUGAAGAAAAUUGAAUAAUUUGAGAAAUUGAUCAUGUAAUUUGGUUUUCUUUUUUUAUUUAAUUGUGUAUAUUAUAAAAUUCUAUUUUCACUAGCUUACCCUUAUUUUUCUUGUUGUGUUUGAACUGCGAUGACUGUACUACGUACACGAGCAGAUGAUCUUACAGGUGUCGAAGGGUCUGAAGAGCUUUAGGAUGUUGAUUUUGAAACCUGUAUUGUAAAUAUUUGUAUUUCUAUAUGUCCUAAUCACGUAUUAGGAAUGUUUUGAAAAAUUUUAAGCAUGUAUAGAAAUAUGUAGAACCUGUAUUUAAAUAGUUAGAUGUUACAUUAUCUAUCAACUACUUUAGAUUGUUGUUAGCUAAAAAAUUAGUAACUAAUUAUAUACCAAAUUAAAAAUCAUUUAUUAGUAACAGAAAUUACUUUAAAUAUCAAUAAUUUUUUAUUCUUUAAAAUAAUAUUUAAUUUAAUUAAUAUAGUAAUUAUUUUUUCUUUAAAAUUAAUUUUUAUUUAAUUAUUUUCUUGUAGUUAUCUUUUAUGUAUUUCGGAAUAGAUUUUUUGAAAUGUAAAAAUGAUUUUCAAAGAGUUUAGUUCCAAAUGUAGGUAUGUAAGAAAAUUGUUGGUGUAGAAAAUUAGAACUUCUAAGAAAUGGCAAUUUUUUACAUAUAUUCUGAAAGAUGAGGCAAUUAGAAUUUAAUCUAAUAGAGCACUAGUUAAAAGCUAAAAAGAAAACUUAAAGCUGUUUUCCUCAGAAGAAUGUUAUUAACGUUUGGUAAUUAAUUAAUAACAAAACCAUCAAAUUACGUUAAUCAUAGAAAAUAAAAGGAUAAAUAUUCUUUAACACCACUGUUCAAAAAAUCCAUCCACCUUAUAUCUAUUUUUUGUAAUAAAAUAUUAUAUUUUAAUAAAAUAAUAAUCUUUUUAGUUAAGUUGUAAGGUAAAUAUAAAAAAGUGAGAAAAAUGUCAACGCAUAAUCACUCAUAAUAAAAUGGUAACAUUUAGUAUAUCAUUCUUAAUGUCAAUAAUUUUAAUUAAUGAAAUUUCAACUUUAAUCAAACACUGCAGAUUGUGUUCUAUUUUCAUUAGAAGUUGUUGAUAAUUUGUUUAUAUUAAAUUUGUUACAUUUAACACGCCCUUUUAUAAAUAAAAUUAACAAUACAAAUGUUUAAUUACACGAUCAAUUAGGUAUCAUAAUUUUAAUCUUUCAAACUUAUUAUUUUAUUCAGCUUCUUAGAUAUUGUAAAUAUAUGAAACAUUAUUUCUUCAUAUUUUAAUUAUGCCAAUUGAGUAUUAAAAAUGUUAAUAGUAUAUAAUUAUAAUCUCUACGUGAAACAAAAUAUCUUAAGGUGACAUUAAUUUAUAAUAUCUUCAAUGAACUACACUAUAUGUUUGAUCUAUUUUAAUUUGUCUCACCAUUAAUCCACCGAAAUUGGAAUAUGACGGGUUAGGAUAACAAGACAUGAGACAGAUUAAAAAUGUCAAUCUCUCACUUUAACAUGUGCCUAAUUAUAAUAUAUAAUAUAAUUUAUUAACACAACUAAAAUAACUUUGUAUCUAAAAAAUUACAACCUAGAAUAGUAAAAAAUGACACAAUUGAAUGUAUGAAAGAUGAAAAGUGUAAUAAAAAAUAAACAAGCAAACAUACUUAGCAAGUACUAAUAUUCUAAUUUAAAUUUUAAACUUUUAAUUUAAAAUAUUAAUGCAUUAUUAUAUUAUUAAAAUGGGUUGUGGUGUUUUUCUGUUGGAAAGGUUGUUAAAAAUAAAAAAUUUCGUGUAGCCAUAUGUGUGGUUAUUGUUUUAGUUACAACUUGUCUAAGCACAACAUGAGGUUAAGAAACCUUUUGUUCCCAAAUACAAGGCAUGCACGAGGUAUAUCAGCCAAAAGCUACGAGGCAAACCCUGAAACCAUGCAAAAAGAACAUGAACUUACGACCAUUUCAUCACAAGCUAAAAGAAGCGUUUUCCCAAAAUAACUCAAACCGACUCUUUUAAAUACCAUGCAAGACCCAUCGUUGUUCCUCAGACCUGCAAGCUAAGGCAAUAAAACAAAACACAUUUGUCUGUUUCAUCUGCUCACACGCGGGUCCAAAACAAAUCAUAUUUAACUCAUCAUGGACAUGAAGAAGGUCACUUGCGCCAUCCUCAUCGCCGCCGCCUCCAUGAGCGCAGUGGUGGCUGCCACCGAGGUUCCUGCCCCGGCUCCCGGUCCAGACAGUGGAGCCACCGUGCCCCUUGUUGGCUCCUUGGUUGGUGCCUCAGUCUUGUCUUUCUUCGCCUUGUUCCACUAAGCGUUAUAUAUGUGGAAAAAAGGGUGCUGCAAGGAACAACUGAUGAUGAAAAUUGAUACAAAUGAAUAUGUAUUAUUUAUUGUUUUGAUGAUUUGUUAAUGAAAUAUUGAUUUGUUUAAUAACUUUUAUGUUAUCUUCUCAUAACAAGUAUAUCUUCAUCACCCUGAAAUAUAACCACUUUCAACCACUGCUAAAAGGAUCUUCGAAAAAUAAAAGGUUGUUGAAUGUAAUUAAUUGAAUUACAUAUUCACUAAAUAUGUAUUUUGUUCUGAAUGAAUGCUCUUUGGCAUCAGGAAGAGAGAAAUACAACCUCAUUUUACGUCAUCUUAUCAGUAUCAGAUCAUGGAAACCGGUACCAUGUUAGCAAUGAGACUUAUUUUAAAUAAAAAAUAAUCAUUUUGCAGGAAUCGUCUUAGAUCUCAAUUUUUUAAAGUAUUACCAAUACACUAUAUUUUCGACUCAAACAAAUAAAAUAAAGCACAAUAUUUUUUUUAUGAUUUCCAAGAAAUCUAAUUAAUGAGUAGUCUAUUGCUAGCAAUUGUCUCCAUUUUUAUAUGGUUGUAACAAUUUCACUGUCCAAAUGAUUGAAGAAUAGAGAAUGAUUGCUUCAUGAUAGAUAAGUGCAAGUGUGGAGGACCCUGUGAUGUUUAUAUGAAUAACAAAUAGACCAAAUAAAUAAAACAUUAAGCUCUAAAAUUCAUGGUUACUUUUCAGUUAGGAAAAGGGAAGUAAAACAUUUAUACAAUCAAUGGCGCAUACACUGCUGAAAAACAAGCACAAAUGAUUAUUCAACCUAACAAAAAUAAUUUAAUUCAUUUACUAUAAGCACUUACCACAACCAAGAAAGAACAUGUGGCAAGCUAUCUUCGUGUCUCCAAUCUUCAACCAAGCAACAAUCUCGAACGGAAUGUGACAUUUGAAUUACACGUUUCUUACAAUAAUGUAUAAAUUUAUAAUUAGAACCUCUUGUAACUAGGUUUCAGGAUUAAAUUUUUGGGCAGACAUGAGGCUUUUUGCCAGCCAUAUUGCUGUUUCUCUUGAUGAUACAGCUUCUUUUCCAAAUGGUCUCAGAACCCCAGAAAGCUCUUCAAGUUUAUCUUGCUUGAGUAGCUGAGCACAUAAUUCGAGCAGAGAUUCCAGAGCAUCAGCUCUUUGCUGGCAGGGACUAUCCAACAGAGUCGUGAUUGUCUCAUCACCAUCGACUUCUGUUAUUACACUCAAUGAAACGCCACUUUUCUCAUCAACCUCCACCGUGUUAUCAUCUUUAUGCGUGCAGAGAAUGUGUCUGUUAGCUCUGUCAUCAUCCUUCACUGGAAGUGCAUCAUUACAAUCAGAUGUCAAGCAGUUCAUAUGUGACCCUUCCGUAAAUACAUUCAAGUGGUUUCCAGAUUCGGUAUCAUGUCCAACCCUAAUAGGAGUCACAGUUAGUGAUGGUUUUUCCUCGUUGACGGACUUAUCUUUAUCAGGGCUGCUACUGCCUGCACUGGACAUUGUUGAUUUACCAGAGAUGUCAAGGUUCGAAUCUUCCCUCCGUGCUUCAGCAUUAUCCAAACCUUCAUAGCAAGAACCAUCUUCAACUUCUGCGCUCACUGCAUUAAUGUCAUCUUCUAAAUUAUGAAAAUGUUUAGCUGCAAAUAUUUGUUCCUCAUGCGGAGAUUCUUGUGUACCCUUUAAAGAGAUUUCGUUGUUAGCCGUUUCCCUUGCAGGUCUACUUUUAAAGUCCUCCUUGCACACACUGCAAAUAGUUGAUUCAGAUGUUGUUGACCCAUCUUUUGAGCCACUAAUACUAGUAGAAGAUUCCACUAUGUAGCUGGUAAGAUCAACCAUCCUGGUUUCAAUAUUGUCUUCUGCACUGGUUGAGAUUGUAACAGCAUCAUUAGGAAGAUUGCUUACGAGUAUAUCUCCAUUUCCCUCAAUUGGAUGAAUCCGUUCCAAACGAUUUACUAAGCUUGCUUCUUUGUCCUUAUGGUCCUUGCCACCACUAGAUUUAUUAGAUCUUCUUGAUUUAUCCUUUGAAUUAACGAGAGGAUAUACUGGAAGAAUAUUAGAUGAUGCAUUAUGACAACGAAGAACAUAAGGUUGUAAAAGCGGAUGCCUUAACAAUUCAGCUGCCUGUCAAUAAAGAGAAACAUCAUUAGAAUCCACAAUUGCAUCCAAAUUAAUCAACAUAAGGCAGGUUCUGUUGAACUCACGGUUGGCCUAUGCUCAGGGUUUUUCCUAAGCAUGCUCUUGAUAAGUUGUUUCCUGUCACACGUUUGUCAACUUUCAGCUCUAUCAUCAUUAUAUUAAAUAUAAGAAAUAGAAUGAAAGGGGAGAGGAGGGGGGGGAGGGAUUUCACAAGGCUUCUAUAUAAUUGUAUUCACUGAGGAAAAUACUUGAACACCAAAGCACAGGUUAAAAUUAUAUCAUGACAGUAGUGUGACUGGGAAUGGUUUGAGGAUGGUACUUACAGUGUGGAAGAAUAAACAAUUGGCAGUGGAGAAAUGCAGGAUCUGUUUAUUUUAUUGAUAAGUCCAGCCAUGUCCUGUUUUAUUCAUUCAAUCAUGUGUCAAUUGUUUUGCUAGUUUAAAAUAUAUUGAAGAAUAGAGACUAUGUUUCCAUUGAUAAAACUAAAUUCCUGCAGAUGGUUAAAGUUCUUACUGGAGCACGAAAUGCUGGUUGAUGUCCAGCAAUCUCAAACAUGCAGCAACCUUAACAUAAAAAGAGAUAUCAUUCUUACACAACGUUAGUUAUCAUAUGGCUUUGUCAAUUAGAAGAAGGUAUCCAUGAACCUUACCAAGAGACCACAUAUCUGAUUUAUAACCAUAAGGUAUAUCAGCCAGGAGCUCAGGACACAUGUAAUUUGGAGUUCCAACAACCUACACAGGAUAUAAGAAGUAUGCAAAUAAAAAACAUCUAUCACUAUGUGAAUCAAGUUAGGUAUCAUUUACCUUUAACAAUAAGAAGUUCAAAGCAAAGCAAAUAUAUAUAUAUAUAUAUAUGAGAAGUUUAAUCUUUUUUGGCUGAACCAAGUUAUUCACAAACCGAAAGUUAAAGACUAAAAUACUGAGACCCAUUUAGUAUUGUCAGCUGAGAAACAUCAAUUACAGGGCAUGACACCAUUGGAUAAAAUACAGGUAACUUCUUAGAAGGAGGCAUUAGUUAGAUAAAAAAAACACAUGUACGCGUACCGAGGAAGUAAGGUCUUCUGCAUUAAGUCGCUUUGCAAGACCAAAGUCACCUGUAUGGUUCAUGCAAUAAACAAACAACUUCAGAUAACGAAGAUUUUGAAAGCCAAAAGUUGAGUUUUCAAGGAUUAAUACUACAUACCGAGCCGAAUGUUGUUGUCUUUGGUGAGGAAGAUGUUGGAACACUGAAAUUACAUAACGUAGCAUUAGUGUAAACAUGAUAACAGAUUUCUUGAUCAGUAUUAUAAGCGAAUGAAUAUGCAAUACCUUAAGAUCUCUGUGGAUUACACGAUUAGAGUGCAAGUAGUCCACAGCUAUCAACAACUGAGUCAGCCAUUUGCAGACUUUCUGCGGUACAAAUUGACAAUUCAGAGUGGGUAAGGAAUAGUCAUAAGAGGAAUUAUCAAGAAAGAGCAGAUUAUGUGUAUUCAUUACCUCCUCAGGAAAAUAUGACCCUCGAGCUUUCUUUAUGUUAUCUGCCCUGCUCCACAACGAAUGUAGAAUUCCAUGAUUAGGACUUUAUAUUACUCUUUGUAUUUCUUCUUUGUAACAUGUAAAUGCAUGCAUGUAGACUAUGUUGUAUGAAUACAAGACCCACAGAAUCCCAAUUACUGUAAGCGUAUUUCAUCUCCAAAAUAAGAAUGCAGAUAGUCAAUAAUAACUGUCUAUCAAACUUCUACAUCGAAAGGAUACUGCAAAAAUUCAACAUCAAUCAACAAGGAUUCCUUCCAGAUCUCCAGGAUAUGUAUUAAUUACAAAGAUGUUUAUACCAGAGUUUCAAAUGGAGGUUCCUGGGCCUUUUCUAACACCUUAACCUUUUGGGUCAAAGAUCAGUUUUAAAAUUCAAUAUUUGUCAUCCUGUCUUAUAAUUAAAAACCAUUAUAACAGUUUGAUUAUUCUUUAGAGUAAGUUCAGCAUAAAGUUCUGUGUAGCUCCGUUUCCAAUCCAAGAUAGCAAUUUUUAUAAUGUCCACAUUGCAAUUCCAGUAGGUCUUCACCUAAAAUAAUGUGUUAGGAGUUAUGAGAACCAUUUUGUUAUCCUUGUUUAAUAAACUAUAAUUUUGGUUUAACAUUUAAAAAGUGUAUUUUUUUUAAUAAUUUUUCUUUUCACCUGAGAUUAAUAGAAAAAUAAUAAGCUCAAAUUCUUAAUUUAUGCAAGAAAGAACCAGUGUUACUAACAGAUAUUGCUUUACUUACAAGUCACCUCCUUCACAAUAGCCAGUUAUAAUGCAUAUGUGAUCCUCCUACAAAAUAUAAAAUAUCAGAAACAUGUCUAUGAAGUGUGGUUACAUCAGAAUGAGCUGAUAUAUCUGUAUUCAAACUUAGUUUUUCAUCUCUAUAGAAACGUAUGACUGAAAAUUUUAAAAUUAAGAAGAAAAAGUCCCCACCUUUUCCACCCAAGCAUCUUUGUACUCCACAAUGUAUGGGUUAUUCAGUUUUGCAAUCAGGUUCAUCUAUUAGAGAAAGAGGAACUAAGUCACUUUUAUGUUGGUAGAAAGAAAACAAACAUUUGAAAUCAGCUUCACAAACCUCUUAAGAUUGGAUUGAAAAGCAUGAGAUAACUAUUAAAAAUAUCCACUUAUAUCUACAUAAAACCAAUAUUACAGUGGCAUUUGGCUCAAAAUUGAAAAUGACAUGCCAUAUGGUGUUCAGAGCACUUUGUGAGCAUAAUGACAUUUACAAAACAAACAUCAUCUUCUCUGGAAGUUUGAUCAACCAUUAGACAACAAUAAUGAGUAGCAUAUAUCCUACCAGAUUUCAACAAUCAAAAUUAAUUCAAUUUAAGUUUACUAAAGUGAUUGUUUUUGUCUUUGCAGUGAAGAUUCAAUUUCAUGAUUUAACUAAAUAUCUAGAUGACACGUUUAUUUGCUGUAUGAAAGAAGAAUAGCCAGCAAUGGCAUAUUCCUAAAUCAUUAUGGAAGGGAAACAUAAAAAAUUGAAAAGCACAAACAAAUAGUUAAGUUGGGCUAAUUCAUGCAAAGAAAAUAAAAUAUAUUAAAACAAAAGUUAAAUAAAUAAUUGUUUGAUGGACACCUAGGAUUCCUCGGGUGGAAGGAUUUUUUACACCAACCUCUUGGUGUGCAGUACGUUUGAACUUCUCUGUCUGUUUGGCCAACCGAAUCUUUUUCAGCACAUACCUACCGAGGAUAUGAAAUUAUGAGAAUGAGUAACAAUUGAAGUUGAAAAGCUAACUGAACUGAAUAAAAAUGCUGGAUUUUCAUAGCCAACAAUUAAAGACCAACAUCCAGAACCAAAAACUUUUCAAACUUUCUUGCUCGAGUUGUCCAUUUAACUGAAAAAAUCAAUAUCCAAGUUCCAACCGUCCAUGUUCCACGGUUUAGUAGGAAAAUUAGUGAAACCCAAAAGCUAACUGCUAUCAAACUUCUCAGGCCUCAACUCCAACAAUUAAACACAAAAAUCGUUAAAAAAAAAGUUGAUUUUUUCCUCAUGGGGUGGUCCAUUUUCCUACUGGAAAACUAAAUGGAUCUUCAAUCUGUUUAUGUAACCAUAGAUGAAGCAGCUAAAGGUGCCAUUGACUUACCUCUUUUUCUCGGACUUGUGAAGAACGAGGAAGGCAGAGCCAAAAGCCCCUCUUCCUAUUUGCUCUAUCACUUCAUAUUCUUCCAUCUUUUUGGACUUCGUGUCACCGUUCUCUGUCUCCAUAGAAAAUUCCAGAAGGUAGAAGACAAAUGGUGAAGAAGCAGUGAAGCAGCAGAUCCUGAUUUGCUACUACGAACUUAGGAAAGAAAAAGAAAGAGAAAGAAAAUAUUCUUUAUGGCAAAGUGUGUGUGAGUGUGAAUUCUACUACCAAACCUUUCUACCCUUUUUUUCAUCCAAGUGCUGUAACUGAAGAGACCCCCAAUAGACUGAAGGGCAUUAAUUGGGCAAAGUAAAUGUAUCCUUACGGAAUGAAUUUGGGGACUAUUCAAUGGGUUGUAGCAACCAUAUGAAGGGCUUCACAUGAAAGAUGAGUAAAGCUACAUUCCACAAUUAUGACACUAAACUACCUCCUCAGAAGACAGAAUUGGAGAGAGAGAAAGAGCAAAGGGUAGACUCAAGUAAAGUAGAAUAUAUCACCACCAAGAAAAUUGAAAGGUUAUGACUUAACUUACCCAAAAGAAAAUGUAGAUUGAGAAUAGGAACAGGGCAACAAGGUCAAGAAAAGACUAUGCCAAGGACGUGGUGUCACAUUUUUAAAUACUUCUAUUCAUUUUUUAGUCAAAUCCAUAUAGGGUUUAUGAAACUUACCAGAGUCAAAACAGAUUUUACCACUAGAAAUAUGUCUGUAGAUUAUUUAUCAGUAAAGUCCAUGCAUCAAAACAAAAUUAGAACUUGAACAUCUACAAGAGAGGAGUCUUGUAUGUACUAACCUUUGAUCAAUGUUUUUUAAUGUUGACACAAGAGUUGUAGUGGUGAGUGUAUUAUGGCUACAACCCCACCCAGUGACUCAAAAGAAAAUGGGGUUGGGUUAAAGGGCAUUGGAGGACAGAACUUAAAGGUGGCAGGUGUGGUGUGGAAAACUAAAGAAAAAGGAAAAGUCUUGCUUGCGUUUACAGACUCAUAAGAGAUCGUUCAAAACAAGGAAUGUUCCAAGGUCGCAGUUGUGAUGUCACACUCCGUGUACCCUAAUUAAAAACCAUUAAUAAGGUUUAAGUUCUUAGUUUUUUUCAAUAGUUCUUCAUUAAAAAAAUUCAUUUUGUCAAGUAUUAAAAGUUUUCUUCUUUUUUUCAAGGUUAAAGGAGACAAUAUGCAUGAUUAUGCUUAUUUAUUCAUGUAUAGUUUUAUUGGUAAGGAAUUAAGAUUCCCACAUCUUCUUUUAUUUGAUUUUAAUGUUGUCUAAGCUCUUAAUCUUAUGUUCGGACUAAUCUGCAGUUUUUUUGCACCACUUUUAUUUCGUAUAACACUGAACUUUAUUUACAACAUCAAAUCGACAAAAUGUAAAUAAUAAAACGUGAAGAUUGGUCAGAAGUUGAUACCAAAGUAUCAUGAGGGACAGUAACUUAAUCCGCAGGUAUCUAGAUCUUGUUUCAUUCCACAUGUUGCGCUUAGCAGUUGCAAGCAACACAUUCAAAAUAAGAUUUGCUAAGAUGAGCACGAAUGCAUAGAAGUUGUUCCUUCUUGGAGAUUGAUUCACCUGAGGUAGUGAUCAACGAGGUUGACGAAUCUACUUUCCUCGUUCUCAGUGCACGAAACAAAACAAUAAUUAAAUUCUGAUUUAGUAAAACAAAGAAAAUUGGAGGAUUGAAAUUAAGAGAUUGUGAGACUUGAUUUUGUUGAAUCCGGUGACGGCGGAUUGUGUUGUAAGAAUGAACUCAAAUAACAACUCAAUAAUAGAAUAAUAAUCAAGAGAACUCUUCAAAAAACGAUUAAAACCACAUUUCAUCUCUACUAAAUAAACAAAUUCAUUAUGAUGAAUAGAAGGUACAAAAGAGUUUAUAAUAAGUGGUAUAAAAAUGGUUAGUCUGUCUUAGUCAUUAGUCAUUGACUCUAAUAUAAAAUGGAUAAAAAGAUUUAUAGAUUUUUUUGUAUUGAAAGUUUCUCUGCUGAAAGUUUAAAAUUGUAGCAAAUGAUGAUAUAAAUAAAGACCAUCACUAUAAUACCUUUUUUUUAUCGGCAUCACUAUAAUACUUAUGAUUAAGAAACGUUUUCGCUUGAAGAAGAAUAUACUAAUUAUACUAAUGUGAAAUAAACUCCCACUUGAAAAAGAGAUUAUGAUUAAUACUUUGAAUUGAAAGUUAGACAUUAACUUAGAAUAAGCAAAUUAAACAAUAAAAUAUAUAUACUCUCAUUAUUUUAAAUUUUUAAAUGAAGAUAUGUUCUUAAUUUCUUAUAUAAAUUUGUUUAUAUUUUGUUAAUAGAGAUUCAAUUAAAAUACACAAAUUUAUGGACAACUUAAAAUUUAUUUAAACCAAAAUAAAAUCUAUCCAAAUUGGGCCAAUGGGUAUAUAUCCUCUACAAAAACAAAGUAAAUAAACUAAUAAAAGUUGCGUGGGUUUGUGCUAGUAUAGUGCGCUGGCCAACCACCGUGGCUGGUCCAAAGGCAUAAUUGUGGUUUAAUUUAACACCUCCACGUUUCUUAGAGGCCAAGAAUUUUUGUGUGUUGUUUAAUGUUUGACGUAAUGAUAUGAUUAGUUUUAAAUUAAGUGCUAAUAGUGAUUGUGCUCAUUUAUGCUAAUAUGACAGGUCAGCGACAAUUUGUUGCAUUUGGCACUAAUUAGGUGGCAAUCCAGUUUAUUUAGCUCUAAGAAAUGUGUUUAAGAACUAACAAAAAAGUUUCAACUGGUAAUUUGGCGAUCAUGGUGUCAAAUCAAAACCUAAUUAGUUUGUUUAACCAAACCGUAAAUGAUCGAGGUGCAAUGUGAUUAUUAUAGUAGACCGUAGAGGGCCUGCCACACGAUAUAGGUUUUAGAACAUAGUAUCACAAGAAAGUCAAACAAUAAUAAUAACAAUACCAACAUCAAAUGAAAAGAAAACCGCAAGAUUGGAAUUUUGUUAUGCAGAUGAAGCUGACGCAAGGAGUUCUAAGUUUUAUCUUUUCAUAAAUCAAUAAAACAAAGUAAAGGAGUGAUUCUCCUUGUUCUUAUUAUUGCCCUUUUUCUUUUCCUUUUCAUGCUAAAUACUUUAACUCCGAUGAGAUCUUUUUAGUUAUCGGAGACAGUAAGGAGCUAAUAAAAUUGGUAGAAGAGACAGCAGUUAUCAUGAGAAGAGUUACUUGAAGUAGUAUUUAUCUGGACAGCAACCGCAGUUCUCUCAUGUGCUGCGCCAAAUGUUACAAUUACCAUUUUUUUUUCGCAAAAGCAACUAUGCAGUGUCGGCAGUGAUCAUUCCACUGUCUUUGCUUUUUAUAACUGACCAGCAAAUCCAAAAUUUCAUUCAAAAACCUAUAAGCUUUUAAUUUGGUUGUCAAGAUACUUACUGCACAAUGGAUAGGUGAAAGGAAAAUAACAGUAUGCUAUAUGAACUAGGCGUAGACAAUUGACCAAGACAUAACAACCGCGAUAUGUACACAAAAUAUAAUACUGAGAAUCACAAUUCCUCGUAAUUGUUCUUUCGGGCCUAAUAGAUUGGGCUUAAUUCAUGUCUAUAUCACAUUCGCUAACAAAAUUGUGCAAGCACAGCAAAAUAUGGGAUCACCCCGAUUUCAGAAGGGUCAUCUCAUUUUAGGCCAACAUGAUGCAGCCAUUUCUCCUUCAAUAUAAUUUGUUGAUGCCCUAAACCAGUUGCCAGCUUUUGUUUUCAGGCUGAAAAUUGUAAGGCGCGUUGAAGACUUCGAAAAUGUACAUAUCAACUUUGGUACUAAAUAAACAAAAAACAUACAUAUGAAGAAUUGGUAGGAUACCCAAUAACUUGCCGUUGCAGAAAAGAAAUAAAAUGGUUCCAUCUCAGUUUUGAAAAUAACCAAAUCACGUCAACUUAAAAAUUGAAAACAACACCCCUUUAGUUCUGCUAAAUACACCAACAUUUGAUAACUAAGACAGGAGCAAACAUCAUGUUACAAACACAUUUACUAUACAGGAUAAACUUAAUUAUAUAAUUUUUACUUCCGCUUGGAUUGUUUUGAGUUUUUAGAGGAUCUACCAGUCUCUAGCUUUCUCCGUGUAGCUUCAAACUCCUCUUCAGAGGGUUCCGGCAUAUCACCUCCACCAUAUUUUGAAACUAGAGAUGAGAACAUUGAAUCAAACUGGCCUUUCCUCUCAUUUUGGCGUUGGGCUAUCAUUGCAUGCAGAUCUGUUUCUGACUGCUUAUUAGACCUGUAGAAAGCAAUGGAUCAUUCUUCAACUAGAGCACAAAUAGCACUAGUAAUGCAAAAACCAGCUUGAUCAACUUACUUUUCCCUCCUUCUCAAAGGAUUUGAGGGCGGUUUGGUUUCAGAUACUUCCUUAGCCCAUUUCUGGUAGGCUUUUGUUGCCUUUAGUUCUCCUGCAGAAAAUGAAGAGAAAAUAAAUAAUCAUGAAGGAAAAUGUUAAACAACCCAAGAAUGUAAUGGACUCUGCCAUGACAUCGCAUCUUAGUAUGCUGAUUCACAAUGCUAAUGCUUAAAAGUUAGUGAAGUUCGUGCAAUUUUCUUAUUAUUAGCUUGCAUUCCAAAUCUAACAAUCAAAAUACAACUUUUUCCAAAUGAUAAACUUAAAUUAUAGAGCAAAUGUCCACCUAUUACCUUAGUUAACAAGAUAUAGUUAAUAUCCUUACCAGCAGCUAUAGCCUCAUCGAGAAUAUCCUUGAAUCGGUGUGAAUCAAGUUUAGGAUCUGAACAAAGCAUUGAACAAAAAAGCCUGCAAAGGGAGUUAAGUCCUGAUAUCAAACUCAACCUUUCCAAAUAUGGCUAUGUGCAUCACAAAUUUGCAAUGCUUUCCUACCUAUUCAUGUUACCCUUGCACUUUUUGUACAAAUCAAUCAAAUCAUUUUUCUCCGAGUCAGAUCCUCUAUAGUUUGCUUGAAACUCCUCAAUAUCAGCUUCCGUGACCUAUACCACAUUUUUAAGUACCACAUAGAUGAACACAAAUAUCCUUUCAAAAAAGAAUUAACAUAAUACACCACAAUGCAUCAGAAAACAGAAUCUUAUGUAAUAAAAGAAAUACCUUCUUGUACAUUGUUCUGAAGAACUCUUGAAGAUUCUGAACAGCAUCUCCAGCAAGGUCCUGAUUUUCAAAAAUAAAUAAAAAAAUAAGUUUUAGUUAAGGACUUGUGACUAAAGUUUCCUAAAUGCUACCCUUGCAGCGUAUAACAUUUUAAAAUAAUUCAUUUUGGAUGAAUUGUGAACCUAGAGUCUUUGGAAAUGAUUUUUCUGAUAACAGUUAAUGGAACAUAAGGAUUUUAGCUCUAAUUUUUUCAUUUCCUAAUUUUUAUACUCACUUUGUUUGCACCCAUCUCAAUCUCUAUUUUUUACCUUAUUACAUAGGUCACUUUCUUUCUCUUCCUUCCUUAUUUCUCCCAUCCCUCUAAGACGCAUACUCCCUAAUUGGAUAAACUCAGCUCCUCCUAAAAGUUAAAACCAACAUAUACACUUAUUAAGCUCUUUCAUCUAAGUAGGUAUAAGUUAUAUACACUUAUUAAGCUCUUUCAUCUAGCUAGGUAUAACUUAUAUAUAAAAAAUUUAUUAAGACGUGAGUUUAAGUCUAACUCAUCCUCGUAAAUUUGACUUCUAAAGUGAGUUUUCCCACCACUGAUCUAAUGUACAUUGAUUUUUUUAAUUGAUUUGGGAUCACUAACACACCAAAACUUCACAUCUCGAAUUUGAAACUAGAUAUGAAUUAGGCUUAAACUCACUUUCUAAAAGAUUCAAUUCACUUUAAGUUUAUGUUUUGUUUUCCUAUAAAUACUAAUUAAAUUUUUUAUCUAAAUAUAUCCUAUCAGAUCCUAAUUAAUCAGCAACAACACAUCAUCAGAGUCUAACUCACAUCAUCAUCAAGACAUCCAGUUUGAUCAUAAAGUGUCCGCUUCUCUUCAUCCCCGAGAAUCGAUAUCACUUUUUGCAGUUGCUGGAAUUUCUCUUUAGCUUCCUGCAACAAUAACAACACAAGAAAUUACUGUCAAGCCCUAAAACUAAUCUAGUGAGAAAAGAAAAAACCACGACAAUUGGUAUAUUGAGCUUAAAGAAUGACCUCAUCACCAGGGUUCUUAUCAGGAUGGAGCCUCAACGCCAACUUGUAGUAAGCCUUCUUUAUUUCCUGCUGAGACGCGGUUCUCUCCACACCAAGAACCUGCAACCAACAAAUCAAAUCAAAUUAAGAAAGUCAAAUAUCACUCACAGUAACAUCAUAGUUUAAUUCGAAGGGUCAGAUGUUCGAUGAUCAAUGAGAAGAGUGAAUUUAGGGUACCUGGUAGAGGCUGGUUUCAUCACGCUGCCCUUUCAUUUCCUCGUCGUCAGAAAUCCUAGCUUUCUUCUUCUGCGCCAUUUUGGUUAUGCACAAGCAAACUGUUAUUCCAAUACUUCUUACGCGGGGUUUAUCACAACUUGUAUUUUAUGUUAAACUAAAUUUUAUUUUAUUUUUUAAAAAAAAACAAAAAGUUAGGGUUGUUCCCGCCAUGUGAUUUAUUCUUCUUCCCGCCCUAAUAAACCCAAAUCUCUAUCCAUAAAUUUCACGUGAGACAUGUUCUGUUUUAUAUAGGGUAUUAAUAUGAAUAGACAAUAUAUAAAAUAAUAAUUGAUAAUUUUAGUUAAAUAUUUUCUCACAUAUUUUACAAGAUUGGGAAUUAGAGAAUAAAGUUGUUUCUAUUAUUUUUUGAUAAUGCUUUUACCAGUGAUAUUCUUAAAAAAAAAAAAAAUACUUUAAGAAGACAAUUUCUUUUACAAAAUUGUUUGAUAUGUGGUGGUGAAUUUUUUUAUGUUCAUUGUUGUGUAUAUAUAUUAAAUUUAAUUGUUAAAAACUAUUAAAAGUGUUUGAUGAUAUUUUUCACCAAAAUAAAAAUAACAUCAAAUAUGUGAGAAUUUCAAAGAGUAAAAUGGUGAAAUUCAAACAAUGUCUUUAAAUGUUUUGAUAUUAAUGCAUCAUGUGAAUGGUGUCUUGAUGUCUCUACAAGACGGAACCCAACUUACUUGAUACUUAAAAGUUAUCUUAAAUAUCAAUGUUUGCUUGGAAGCCUGAACUUAAUUGAUGAAUCUUAUAAAUAUUUCCUUUUAGAGGGAGAGUGAGAGAGUUGAACAAAUUUGUAGGUUCUAGUUACCCUUUUUUUAUAUUACUACCUUGAUUUUUGACAUCAAGUUAUCCUACUUUCCAACUUUAUUUUUUAAAAGUUUGAAAAAUUCAAUGUUUGUUGAUGGAAAUGGUGAAGGAUGAGGAUAAACUAAUUAAUAAUAUGGUUGAAUUAAUGAUAGUAACAUUUGAUUAAUAUUAGAAUGAAUAUAGUGUUGCGCUUGCAUUUGUAUUUGGUAUAGUUUUAGACACAAAAAUGAAGUUAAAAACAUUAGAUUUCUACUAUGAAAAAAUUGUUUCACUUCAAAGAUAAAAUUGGAAAAAUAAAGAAAAAUUUAUGCAAACUUUUUGUCAAAUACUCCAGCAAAGGUUUGACAACAUCAUGAGUUUUCAAAAGUGUAAGUAUGGACAAUCUUCAUUCUCAUAUCCUUCUAAAUCAAGUUUUUUUUUUAUGUAAAUUACUCACUUUAAAAUUUUUGUUGCACUUGUCCACUAUACAUGCUACUAACUUAUUAUAGCAUAAUAAAAAGUAAAAAUGUGUAAGCUUCAAAUGCAAGUCAAAUGUAGGACGAGGUCAAAAUAUGAUAAGUCAACUCGCAUUGUCAUUCCUAAUAACACACUCAUCACCUACAAAACAAAAAUUAAUAUUUUAAAAAUAAUUAGAAUUUAAGUAUUAAUUUUUUUUCUUAAUAAAUGAAAAUUGUUGCUUGAAAACUUUUAAGUAUAUAUGAAAUAUUCUAUAACAUUAAACAAAAAUGAUGACAUGAUUUGAAAUACUUUUUUAUGAUUUUUUUAAAAGAAUGAAAAGACUUACUUGUCAAGUUAGGUCCAAAUCAUUGUAUGGACUUUUUUAUCCGGGUACAUCAUAGUGUGAAUACCUUCUAUAAAAUUUAAACUCCACAUUUUUGGAUUGUACAAUUCAUAAUACAUAUUUUAUAUUUUAGAAUAUAAGUCUAGAAUUUUAUUUAUUUAUUCCAAAACGUACAUUUUGAUUUUUUUAUUUAUUUUGUAUUUCAAAUUUAUCAUUCUAAAAUACAUUUUUUAUUUUAUUUUAGAUUAUAGAUUUUAGAAUACAAUUUUUUUUAUUUCAAAACUUAGAUUCUGAAAUACAAAAUAGAAAAUGCAUUCCUAAAAUAUAUUAUCUUAAUAAGAAAUACAUCCCAAGUAUUGAAAUACAUACAAGAAUGUGUAAUAUGAAAUGCAUUAAUAUAUUCUAAAAGAUUUUUCAAUUUUAGAAAAACACAUUAGAUUGUGAAAUCGAGAAUAUAUGGAUGUAAACUGCUCAUUCUAAAAAGGAUUUUCUGAAUCUAGAAAUACAUACCAAAAUAUACAAUUCAUAAUGAUUUUUAAGGGUAAUUUAUCAUUUCACCUCUUCAUAGGAGUGCAUAUUAGAAAACAUCAGGCUGAAGAAAUCAAUACCCACUGUAAAAAUGAGGCAGUGACUUUUUCAAAAAUAUAGGAGGCAGUUUCUUCCUGCACUCCUACGUUUGAUUUUCUGCACCCCAUAAUGUCAUGCAAAGACAAAAAUAACCUUAUUAUUUUUUAAAAACCCCAAAUUGCGCACAUGGAUUCCAUUUCUCUCUGAAUAGCGGCGACGCUACUCCAUCUCUUAGCACAAGAAGAUGUUUCUUUUGGUGGUGGUCGGUAGUGUAUCGGAUUAUCGUUUUCACAAUUUAUAUCUAGUAUUUUAGACAAUGCGAUUCGAUAAUUUUACGGAAUCAGGAAUCGAUAUUUGUUUUUUCACAUUCAGGAUUUAGAAAUCUAUAAAUCUUCUGGAUUAGAGAAUCUGUAAAUAUUUCAGAUUGGGAACCAUCUUCCGCAUUGGAGAAUCCGUAAGUCUUUAGGAUCCAUCGAUCCUUAAAAAAAAUUAGGCUUCCAGAUUCAGCAAUCUGAAAAUCAACAAUUUAUUAACAAUUUGCUUCCGAAACACCUCCUCAUCCGAAAAACAGCAUGAUUCACUUCCGGAUUGAUGAAUCCAUAACACACUCCACCAUGGUGACCUUUUCCAAAUAAAAGGUCAAUGCCACUUGCGAGAUUUUUAAAUUUGUGGGGGUGCAGGAAGAAGAAGCCAAUACGAUCACUCUGUUUUUGUUUGUUCUGGUGGAUCUCUGUGAAACUCCAUUUCAGAGUCCGAGGCUUAUUUUUUCGGCCUGAUAGUAUAUGCUUUUCGUAAGCAAUUAAAAAUAUAUUUAAUUAUGUUUCUAGUAAGUGAAAUUUGAUUUCAAAUGCUCAAAUUUUAAAGAACUCAUUUUAGUUUUAAAUUUAAAAAAUACAAAAAAUUAGAUUCUCAAUUUCAUUUGCUAUUUUUCAUUAUUUUGUUUUCUUUUGUCAAAGUAAUAUAACAUAAAAAGUGCACAUUUUUAAAUAAAAUUAAUGGACAGGGUUCCAUAUAUUUAAUAUUUCAUUUUGGGUGUAUUGCUUAGAAGUGACAACGGAAUGAGUAUACUCAUUUCUUGUUUCUAUUAUGAAAGUAAAUAUUAUUUUUUUUCUUAUAUCUCAUGAGUAUAAAAUUUGUAUUUAUCUUCAUCUUCUUGAAUAGUAGAUAUACUUAUAUCCAUCCAACAACUUAAAAUUAUAUUUUUUAAAAAUAAAAUAAUACUCACAGUAAAAAGAAUAUUAUUGAAUUUAGUGUAAUUUUUUUGUUUAAUAUAAAAAUUAAAAUUAAAAUUUUAUAUAUUUAAAAUAAAAUAAAAAUAUUUUAAUAAUUUAAAUAGAAAUAAAUACGGGACGAACAUCAACAUUCACACUUUCAUUUUUAUAUUUAAUUUUUAAAAAAAAAUCUUAUUAUACUCAUACAUAUCUUGAUUUAAAUAUUUUUCAUCUCAUUGAGAAGAAGAACAUAUUAGAACAAUAAACCCUAAACAAUAAUCAUAAAUACAAGUUUAUUUAAAUAAUUUAGGUUUUAAUCUUCAAUUGAAAAAUGAUCCAAUUCUAUAAAUUUUCCACUAGUGGAAUAAAUUGUAGAGCUAAAGUUCCAAUAUUUCAAUAAUACAGGGCAUAUCAUCAUCCACUCUCAAACUUAUUCAUCAAAUAAUAGAGACAUGACAUGUAUAUGUAAUGAUUUAGGAAUGAACUCUUAUUAUAUUAUUUUAUAUUAUUAUGACACGUAGUAAAUGAUAUAUAAGAGAAAAAUAACAUAAAUAAUAUUGUUUCAUAAAUAUUUUUUUUUUCAAUUACGUGAUAUGGUAAGAUUAAUCUUAAAAAGUUUCAUAUUACUAAUUUCAAUCAAUAUCUUCAAUUUUACGUGGAUAAUAAUAUUUAACUUUUUUUUAAACUUUUGAAAACUUAUUGGUUAUUAAUUAUUUUUUUAGGAAAGUAACAAAUUAAUUCACAUAUAUAUGAAACAAACAUAAUUAUUAGUAUUUGGUAGCAAAUUUGCAAGAUUAUUGAUAGAUCAUUUGUUUAAAUAUGAAAUAUAUUAUUGUGUCUUGUAUCUUGUAUUAAAUAUUCAAAUAUACUAAGAAAAUGAUUUUUUUUUUCUUUUAAAAAGAACACAUCAUUUGCUAUACGUAUGACCAUCCUUACACAGUUCAGAAUCAGUCAUCAGGAAUAUGACAUGACUUUCAAAUGUCAUAAACUAGAUCUGAUAAUUUAAAAGAAUGCAUUAUAGAAGUAAAAAAUGUUUAAGUUCUUAUAAACCAGCAGCUUCUAAGCCCUGGUUUAGAAGACUGUUGAUUUUGAUAGUUACCACACAUCAUCUUACAAUUAAUUAAAAUUCAUCACUCAAAUUAUUUUCAAAUAAAUUGUUUAUUUUGCCUUACUUUAAGUAUAAUGUUUCGUGAAUGUUUCGUAAUCGAUUAAAUAUUUAUCUUAAUUACCAUUAAAAAAUCAUGUUUAGGGUAGUCCAUAUUUUUUUUUGAAGAAAAUGCAUGUGUUGAUAAAUUAAUUAAUUUAAAAUUUAUUCAUAAAGAACCAUUUCAUUGAUACAAUAGACUUUCAUCUAACACUAGUGCAGAAACAUAAAACAAAUGCGGUUUUAUAACCGCAUUUGAUCAACACGCACUUGUAAAUCAAAAAAUAUAAAUGCGGCUAUAUAGCCGCAUUUAUAAAUACCAUUUACAAGUGGUAAUAUGCCGAAUCAUUAAAAAAAAUUAAAAAUUUUAAAACAUCGUCAAUCUUGUGUGAAGCCAAGAUUGAUGAAGAGUCACGGGAGCGAACAACGGUGACGGCAGCAGAAGCGACGACGGACAGGGAAGCAGCAACGGAGCAAACCAAAAAAUCCACAAGAAAUCACGAAGACAAUGAAAGAGUGCUUCGAGACCACUAAUGCAAGGAAAAAAACAUAUAUAAGAAAAACGAAAAACAUUUAUGCAUAUAUUUGUGAAGAUGAAGAGGAAAAAAGAGAGUUCAAGAAACUUACAUUGCACAAAUGGAAUGCAGAUGCGGUAGAAGGAGACGAACUCAUAGUGCAAACGCGAAACGAAGG
rnacentral:lncRNA from 1 species